AAAAUUACUUGCGAGAUGACGCAAGUCGCCAGAAUGCGAAGACUUGCUCUCCUCUCUCCCUUCGGAAGAGGACUGGGUCCCCACCUCUCUCCCUUUCGAAGAGGACUGUGUCCCCUCCUCUCUCCGCUUGUACCAGGGUUUCUGGUUCCCCUCUUGGCUCUUGAACAGCGUCGUCGCUUGCCAAAAUCACUUCCAAGCUCACCCCUCCGACAUCCUCCUCGUCACCAGCCCGAAAUGUGGCACCACCUGGCUAAAGGCCAUCCUCUUCGCUCUCUUGAACCGUGCCAAGUACUCUGACUCCUACUCACAACCACGCCACCCUCUCCUAACCCAAAACCCCCACGACCUCGUGUCCUUCUUGGAGUUCGGGCUCUAUCUCCAGAAUAAAAAUCCUGAUCUCACUGCUUUUACGUCCCCAAGGCUCUUGGCCAGCCACUUGCCUUAUUCCUUGCUUCCGCGAUCGGUGAGGCACUCCAAUUGCAAGCUGGUUUACUUGUGUAGGAACCCUAAAGACACUUUCAUCUCGAUGUGGCACUACUUCAACAAGUUCAGGCCUGAAGAGAAGGGCCAACUUCCACUCCUAGAGGGCCUCGACAAGUUCUGCAGAGGCAUGAGUGCGUACGGGCCUUACUGGGACCAUGUGCUGGGUUACCACAAGGCGAGCUCGGAGAUGCCCGAGAAGGUGUUGUUUGUGAAGUAUGAGGAGAUGAAAGCGGACCCGAGCGUUCAAGUGAGGAGGUUGGCCGAUUUCAUCGGGCGUCCAUUCAACGAAGAAGAAUUGAGAAACGGGACCAUGGAGGGAAUACUGAGGAUGUGUAGCUUUGACAAUUUAAGUGCAUUGGAGGUGAAUAGGAGCGGCAAGUUGCCGGGUGGAGUAGAGAAGAAGUGGUUCUUCAGGAAGGGCGAGGUUGGAGAUUGGGUGAAUUACAUGAGCGCUGAAAUGGGAGAGCGAAUUGACGGUGUCAUGGAAGAAAAGUUGCAUGGUUCUGGUUUGAAGUUUUAGGACAUAUGACCCACUCGAAGAUAUUUGGUUUGAUGGUGGAAAAGAAAAAUGUGUAAAAAAGGAAGAAAAAAGAAGCAAAAACGAUUCGAUUGUCCACACUUUAGGGGGUCAAUGUCAGGUUGGCCAAUGCGAGCGUGUUUCUGAUGCUAUAGGAUGAAAGAUUUUCAGUGGCAUUGUCAGUCGUGGCUUCGUCUCCAUAGUGAGAUGCUUUAAGGUUGUGAUUCUACUCUUCAUCUGUGUUGUGUAUUAUUAGCGUUUUGCAGAAGUUAUUUGGCCAGUACGUAGCUGGCUAAACAAAAGCUGCCUUGCUGCUCCCUGGGAGCUUGUGGAUGUAUCUUCUGUUAUUCAUUUCAAUUCCAUUUUUCUUUUUCUCUUGGCUGUGUGAAGAUUCGUGGCAUACGGUAUUAAAUACAAAGCAGUUAUUUGGUAGGUUAAACUACAAAUUAUAUUUGUUAGAUGGAAAAUAAAUUUGUUAUUAAACUUAUCGGUCCAGUUUAAUUUGUCGGUUUUCAAAGCCAUAAACUAAAACCAAACGAAAAACCAAAGGAAAAAAAAAUUCCUAAACCAAAAUUAAAACACCAAGGGCGCAUUUGGUAAUGAUUCUAUUUCGGGGAACAAUUUUUUAGCAAAAUAACACGUUUGGUAACUUCCCAAAAUUUAUAUUUUUGGGAUAGAAAUACGUUUGGUAAAAUUUUUAGAUUUUUUAGAUUUUUUAGAUUUUUUUAUUCUUUUACUAUUUUUCCUUAUUUUUUCCUUAUUUUUUUUCAUUUUCCUUUUUCUCUUUGGUCAGUCGUCGGCCACCGGCUGGGCGAUGUCCAGCAAGCUCGCCAGAGCCUCGCCAAGCUUGGGCGAGGCUCAACGAGCUCACCUGAGGCCAGCCUGGCCACAGCGAGCCUCUGCCUCGCUUGAGCGGCGUGAGGUUGGCCUUGCCCUAGCCUGAGAAGGCCCAGCCUCGCACCGAUUGGGGAGGGCGAGCCUUGUUGUUGCCACUCAAGGCUUGUCCUCGCCCAAUUCUGGCAAGGCUGAGCUUGCCUAGCCACCGACGAGGCUUGGCCUCAUUGGGCCACCGCCAGGCGACGCCGUCCUGGAGGUGGCUCGGCAAGGCCGAGCCUUGCCAGUGGUUGGGUGAGCUUGGCCUUGCCAGAUCUAGGUGAGGUCAACCUCACCCAUCCCAGGUGAGGCAAGCCUUGCCAUGCCACACCCAGCCAUGGUGUGGCUUGGGCCGACGAGCCUCGCCGUGGCUUGGCGUCUCUGAGGGCGGGCAACGCUCUAACGAGGUUGCAAGCCCUCGUCUGGCCGGUUGCUAGUGCCAGCCAUGGCCAAGGUUGGCGAUCGGCUAAAAUGAAGAAGAAAAGAAAUAGAAGAGAGAGAGAAAAAUUGAUUCUAGAAAUUGUUAUCGGGAACAAGAAGUUACUUUUUUCAACUUUUUGUUUAUGUUCCAAAUCUAUUCUCAGGAACAAAAAUUUAGAUUUUGUUUUUGUUUUCGGAAACAAAAGUUUUACCAAACACGUUUCUAUUCUUUUUUCGUUCCCUGAAACAAAAGAAUAGAAAUUUUUGUUCCGGGGAACAUAAAUUUUUUUAACAAACAAGCCCUAAAUUGCUAAACUGAGCUUAUCGAUUUUGUUCGGCUCGGUUGAUCGUUUUUUUCUGUUUUUCAUGAACAAUCCUAAUAGCAUAGAUCCUUGCCGAAGCUGGCUAUGGUUGGGCUGUGGCCAUAUUCAUGCGGUUUAUUCUUUAUUCUUUAUUUUUUUAAAACUUUCUUUCAUUUUAUUUUUUAAGAAUUCAUUAAAUUUCAACUGUUCCUCUUGUUUUUGGCUCUUUUAAGUGUUUUGAUAAACCAGCUUGUAGUUUGGUUGACCUCCUUUUUAUAAUGUAUCAAUGAGAAUAAAAAAUUAAUUUUGUCAUGUUCUUUAAUUUACUUUGCCAAUUGCUUGCCAAGUGAUGUCUUUAGCUUCCGCGUCUUUAAUCUUGUCCAUGAUACCUUCGACUUCAUUCUUCAUAUACCCAUUAUGAUUUUUCUCCUCUUUUUGCUGAUCGCCUGUUAACGGCCUAGCCAAGCCCACGCUCUUUCGAUGCUAGACUUCAGCCUACCAUCAAUUUUUCCUUCCAUAGAUGGUGCGCAUGAAGGAAUCAAACCAAAUGAAAAGAAGGCAAACGGUGAUAGAAAACGAGGAAAAGAGGAAACGGAGAAGAGAGAGACAAAGCUUGAGCGCGCAUCUCACGGGAAACUCGCUAAGCCAGGUUAGCCUCAUUUUGCAAUGCCCAAUAAUUAAUCGAACUCGUUAUUCGUCUAAUCAAAAUAAUUUUGGGAAUUAGGCCGCAAAUUUGAAGUUUAAGUGAAUUUUGAACCGUGGUUAAGGAAUUAUUAAGUUAUAUAUGGAAAUGGUCCUGUUUUGUGUGGGCAAAGUUGUGAGCCCACCACAAUGAAUGAGUUUGAAAGAGGGACCCAAGAUUUGACAUGUGCUCUCAUAUCAUAGAGCAAUACCAAAUCAUAAAAUUUAAAACAUUAAAUGAAAGGAGACUACCAGUAUACAAAACAUAUCAAACUCUAAUAAUUUAUGUGAUUUAGAACGAUACUUAAUAGUUUGAAUGGAUGAGACACCAAAUAAUUAUACUGGUGGAGGUAAAGGAUCUCAUUCCAUUUUGGGGUAUCUAUACAUUAUAAAAUUACCCUCCAACUUUACAGAAUCCUGCCAUUUUUAUUCAAUUACAGAAAUUAAUUAAAGUGGCCCAAUUGCAAUGUGGUGAGAGGAUCCAAUUCAAAGACACAUAGUCAAUAGCUCACUAUGUAGUGAAAAGAGUGACAUCUGGACUCCCGCAUACUUUUUUUUUAAUAAAAAUUGCCAUAAUUUUCCACAUAUGCACUAGCCUUCCUAAUCAGCUAUGCCACAUAAGACGGUUGAUAUUCAUGUUAGUAAUUACUAGCCAAAAUUAGUUGAAAUUGUUGGAAAUUAAUCCCAAGAAUACACACUGUUUGUUGUAGUCAGAACAUCAAUGUAAAGAAGACAAUAACAGUUAUAUAAUAUCCUUCUUUUUAUGUAAAAUUACAAAACUUGAAGAAGAAUAAAAUAAGAUAUUACUGGAAAAAUAACAUAAAAUUGGAGGUGAGGUACGGAUAACCGAAUCUCCUUAAGGCGAUUAGUUCCUGCCAAUGGUGCUCCGCAGAUUCACGAACUAUGCCUCCCAAGAUACAACACCUCGAACCUGUUUGGAUUAGCACUAUGCAAAUAGGACUCAAUCGAACCGUUCAAUUGAACCAUCACAUCCAGAAAAAACAGAAGAGUUGAAACGUAUAUCAAAGCUCUUUUGGAAUCGAGUUAGAAAAACCAAAAACCAAAAACCUUUAUGAAGCUCUAUGCUCAUAUCUAUUUAUAGAGAAUUUUUAGUUCAUGUACUAAAGAGAUACAUGAAUUAAAUAGACGCGUGUAUCCACGAGAUUCAUGAAUAAAGAGAUACGUGAAUCCAAGAGAUUCAUGAACUCAAUAAAUACAUGAACUAAAAGAUACACGGAUCUAAGAAAUUCAUGAAUUCAAUAGAUACGUGAAUAUAAAACUAUAGGAAAUUCAUGAAUCCAAAAUAGAUACGUGAACAAAAAGGACGUAUCUUAAUUUAUUGGCUUUCGUUGAUCCAUUAACCAUAAUUAUAACCAUAAUUACAACAAUCCCCCACAUUAAUGGAUCAACAAAACAUUUUUGACUCGAAGGAAUUUGAGCAUGCCUGUUGAAAUACACUGCAUCAAGAUAGGUAGUUUUCGCUUUGAACCUUCUUUAGUGAAAGCCUAUCUGACUUACUUAACUAGUCGAUGGACUAAGCCUUGAAUCGCCAAUUGUUUGUGUAAGCCUAGACAAUAAACCUCACAUGGAGUAUUUCCAAUUCAAGAUUGGUUCUCGGUUGUGUUCGUUCUUUCAGCCCUGAACCUCUCGGGAUUAAUGUGUGCUUUAGAAAAUCUAGCCUUUAAAGAUUUUCAUAGAGUCGGCCAGCUCCACGCAUAUAGGUGUAUUCCUAUUAAAGAUAUCCUAUCAUAUCUUACUUGGAUGUUAUAUUCCAAGUUAUAGGAAUCAUUAAAUGCAUAGCGUACCCUUAAUAACGCUGUAGGAAAGCACUGUUGCAUCAUAGGAAUGGGAGAUAAUGCUUACACUAGAGUUUCUAGAAUUUGCGUUGUCCUAUUGAACCUAGACCAUGGGAUUUCCAAUCGCAUAGGUUAGGUUUCCACCCUGGAAUCUCUUUAUUGGGUUAAGGCUCUUAAACCCAUUCCCCUCGAUGUGCAGUUUAUCUGCUCUUUUGACAAACUUGUUGUCAGCGAAUCUGCUAUAUUUUCCUUUAACUUUACAAAGUAUAAAAAAUGAUUCUAUUUAGAGCAACUGCCUUACGGUAUUAUGUCUAUGACGAAUGUGUAUAGACUUACCAUUAUAAAUCACAUUAUGCACCCCCACACUUUUAGAAAAUUGUAGGAUAGCAACUUUUCAUUCCAUAACUCGUAUGGAGUUUUACCUGUCUCUUUGUGGGGUAUUUUAUUAAGAAUAUAAUUUGCAGUUAAAACUGCCCCCCCCCCACAAGUUCUGAGGUAAACCUGAACUCAAAAGCAUGGCGUUAGCCUUCUCCUUUAGUGUCAUGUUCAAUCAUUCGGCAACUCCAUUUUGUUGUGGAGUAUAAGGUGCAAUCGUUUGGAGAAUUAUUCCAAAGCUAGCACAAAACUCCUUGAAAUUGAUUGAACUGUAUUCUCCUCCUCUAUUCUGAGGCACAUAAUGAGAUCUUCAAGGCUCAUCUCCUUCCGUUUGCGCUUCAAAUAAUUUUGAAGGCUGACUAGCCCGGAGGCAAUUUCUCAAUCAUAGCCGCCACUUGGAAUGAUUCACUAAGUAUCAUUCCCUCAGCAGAGAUGUCGCUCAGAAUUAAUUGUAAUUCUUAGACCUGACUCAUGACAUAUAUAGAAUCCACUAUCUUGUAGUCCAAGAAUUUGGCAACCACAAAUUUCUUGGUGCCAGCAUCCUCAAUUUUGUAUUUCUUCUCUAAGGACUCCCAUAACUGUUUAGCAGAUUCAAUAUUACAAUAAACGUUAUAUAGAGAAUUCACUAAGUAGUUAAGAAUAUAAUUUAAGUAUAAGAAGUCUCAAUGCUUCCAAGCCUCCAACGCACCAAGUGUCGUGACAUCUUGCUCAUUUGGACUAAUUAUCGGGCACACGUCCGAUAAAUAUUUCGUUAGAUUGAGCAUGGUCAGAUAGAAGAACAUCUUUUGUUGCCACUGUUUAAAGCCCACUCCGGUGAAUUUCUCCGAUUUCUCAUUAGCUGUAACUGGAGGUGUUGCCAUCACAGUAGGCAAGGUUUGUUGAACUACCCUCCAGAACCAGAGCCAAAAGCCAUUUAGCCUAUACUGUUCUAAAAAACAGUCCGGGACAUACCAGUCGUAUGACUUGUACCCACACCACCAAAAUUGGUGUUAGCCCAAGGGCCCGUAGUAUUGGCUACUACAAAUUCAGACCUUGAGGGCUUAAAAUCUUCCAUAGUAAUGGUCGAAUCAACCAUAGGAAUGUCUCCUGAAACAUUAUGGACAUUGAAUGGCACUUGAUUGUUUUCAGCCAUCUCAAUAAUCUGACAAGAACAACAAAUAGUGAGUGAUCUAAUCGCCUUAAGAUUGUUGGAAAUUAAUCCAAAGAAUACACACUGUUUGUUGUAGUUAGAACAUCAAUGUAAAGAAGACGAUAACAAUUAUAUAAUAUUCUUCUUUUUAUGUAAACUUACAAAACUUGAAGAAGAAUACAAUAAGAUAUUACUGGAAAAAUAACAUAAAAUUGGAGGUGAGGUACGGAUAACCGAAUCUCCUUAAGGCGAUUAGUUCCUGCCAAUGGCGCUCCGCAGAUUCACGAACUAUGCCUCUCAAGAUACAAUACCUCGAACCUGUUUGGAUUAGCACUAUGCAAACAAGACUCAGUCGAAUCGUUCAAUUGAACCAGCACACCUAGAAAAAACAGAAAAGUUGAAACGUAUAUCAAAGCUCUUUUGGAAUCGAGUUAGAAAAACCAAAAACCAAAAACCUUUAUGAAGCUCUAUGCUCAUAUCUAUUUAUAGAGAAUUUUUAGUUCAUGUACUAAAGAGAUACGUGAAUUAAAUAAACGCAUGUAUCCAUGAGAUUCAUGAAUAAAGAGAUAUGUGAAUUCAAGAGAUUCAUGUAUCUUUGGAUACAUGAAUUCAAGAGAUUCAUGAACUCAAUAAAUACAUGAACUAAAAGAUACAUGAAUCUAGGAAAUUCAUGAAUUCAAUAGAUACGUGAACAUAAAACUAUAGGAUUUUCAUGAAUCCAAAAGAGAUACGUGAACAAAAAGGACGUAUAUUAAUUUAUUGGCUUUCGUUGAUCCAUUAACCAUAAUUAUAACCAUAAUUACAACAUAAAUGACUAUAUUGACAAAACAUUAAAAGAUUUAAGAUUAAAUUGGUUAAAUUGAAAAGUUUAGGACUGAAUUAACCACCGUAUAAUAGGUUUAUGACUUUUUAAAUAAUUAUCCAUAAUUUUUUCUGUUGAUUGAUAAUGGUUCAUCCUGACAGAGUGAAGUACCACUUACUUUUGAACAGCCAAAAAAUUGAUGAUGCUUACAUAUACAAACGUCAUUACGCUAUGGCUAUAAAUGACUAAAAAAAUGCAAAUAUCUUCACUUACACUAGAUGUACACCAAAUGAACUCAAAAUUGCAUAUCUAACUAAAGAGACAUAUUUUCCUCUAUUCUUGCUAAAGCCAAUCUCAAAGUAGAGGAUUAGACAACCCGCUUGCAUAUUUAACUAUAAAUAAAAUGUGUGCCAUGUCAAACUAUGAUUGGAUGCUCUAACUAGGGUAGCUAAAGAUUUUCUAUGAUGUUCAUUGUUCAUAGGUUAAGAAACAACAGAAUAUGUAACUGGUUUGUAAUACCAAUUCUCACCAAUAAAGAGAAAAACUCAGAAUAAGUAGUUAGAGUAGAGAAUAAAAGUGAAAAUCAUAUUUUUCCCUGACGAGGAGAUUUGGUAGGAUGUUAAUUUCUUGCAUCUUGAUACAUACAAAUGUAAUAUCAUAUAGUAUGAAUUUGGAUGAGUAAAAAUUGAUUUACACGAUGAAAUAAUAGAUCCCAAUGAGUAUCUAAAUUAAGGAGGACGUGUACAUUCAAGCAUCCAAUAAUAGUUUUGACAUAUACACCAAUAAAUAUCGGUCUUUACCAACCUUGGUAUCAUCAAAAUUUUUUUUUUUUAAAGCUGUAGGAAAGCAUCAAAUAAUGCUGGGAGUAUUUAUCUAUUUGGGGUUUUUUUUAUUUAUUUGGAUCGAUAUUAUGAAAUUUCAUCCACGCUACCCCGGAUACGAGCCAACCAACGAAUAUUUCAAUAGGUUUGCUUCGCUUAGUUGAAAAUAGAGUUAAGUGGGCUACCUUUUAAUUGUUAUUAAAGGAUGAACAGGAACCUUCGAAUGUAUUGUUCAAAGUUGACAUGAUACAUAUGCUACUUGUAUAGAAAUUAUAAUUUGCAUUUCGCAAGAUGACAAAACAUAUUUUGCGUAUGAUAAGUUACUUUAUCCCUAUUGAAGAUGACGUUCACUUGGUAUACUAGUCAUCCCGUGAAUUCGAUACAGAAUGCAAAAUGCACCCGGAGAGAAUCCUUGAUACUUUGGGCGUUCAUCACAGUUUUUGGGCUAACAUUAUAAGAGUUAUUUUGCAUACGAUGUUUCGGGCAUUGGGUAAUGGCCAUGGAGGGUUUGACAUGAACAUAAAUUUGGCAUUAGCCACCAGAGAUGAAGUUGAAAUGGAAGACACUGAGGAAGCCUCAAUUGGAGGAUACAAGUCAAAUCCCAACCAAGUCACGCGGGGCGUCUCUAGAGGCACCAUUGAAAAGCUCGAGCGGAAGAGCUACUCUGUUGGGGAAGCUGAUGGAUGCUGUUCUAUUUGUUUAGAGGAACUAGAUGAGAAAUAUAGAGUGAAGGAGAUAUCAUGUUCGCACCUAUUGCACAAUAGGUGCAUUGUCAAGUGGCUCGAGAGGAAUAAUUCGCGUCCAUUAUGUCGUGGCAAAGUACAAGUACAAGAUUCAGAGUAGUCAGUUUUAGUUUGUAAGAUUUUCUAAUAAGAAAUGAAUUCUCUCUCUCUCUGUUUUUUUUCCCCAAUGGAUUAACUAAUUUGCUGCAAUGACUUUGGUACUCAAUGCAACGUCCGCUGCUACAGUUCCAAAAAUCACCCCUGUUAAAGAACCAAGGUCACCUGUGAUGUCCCAGUAGAGACUAUAUAUAGUGUCUGUUUCUUCUAUGGCUAGAACCUGGCGAAGAUAGUAACCUGCAUUCGGAAAGAGAGCAAAACGAAAAGAUAAUUGUCCCCAUCAAUAUUUACAUGAGAACACUCACAAAAGAAUGUUCACAUAAGAGUACCAAACGAGCAGGGAGCGGGGAGCGGGGGGAGAGAGAGAGAGAGAGAGAGAGAGAGAGAGAGAGAGAGAGAGAGAUUCUUACGCAAACCAACAUACAUAACAUGUGACAUCCUGAUUUUCUAUCUUGUCCCAAUUUUAUGAAUGGGCUUUUCAUCGACGCGCCUAUGGUCCUUUUUCUCUGAGUUGGCCACUCAUGAGAUAAUUAAUCUAUCUGGUGAAGCCAUUAAGGAUUGGAGAUAGGUUGAUUCGACAAAGGCACGUAAUUAAUUGUUGGUGAUUCCAUUUGAUUGCAAAAUUUUCGUCGAACGUCACUAAACCAAUUUUUCUGUCGAUUAUGUACCCGAUAUUCAUAAUUGAAACCUUGAGAUUUUCAUGACAAUCAAGAGUCGCCUAUGAGUUGGAGAUGCACUAUGUGGAUCGAAAAUAAUCGACCAUGGGUUAAACGUAUUAAAAAUUCCUAAAAGCUACCUAAUAGGUUAGGUCACACUAAAAUCGCGUUCGGUUGAAAUUAACCACGAAAUUGAACCCGGUUUCAGGAAUCGAAAGUUCUAGCAUGUCGCGAUUUAUUUUUAGAACGUCAACUCAUCCUUUGAAGAAUUUUCGCCGAGCUCGAAAUUUUGGCGGGAAUUCAAAAUUGGACAAUUUAAAGUGUGGAAAUUCGGAGGGGCAUUUUCAAGUGAAAUUUUGGCCUUCAAAAUGGAUUGAAUUGCGGAAGAAAUUGUGGAAUUUGGUUAGGGCUUCCUCCUCAACAAAUUUAGCCAUCAAAUUGGAGAGAAUUGUGAAGAAAUUGAAGUGCAAUGGGUGCAAAUUCGUAGGCUUGUGGGGAUGCUGCAAAUUGGUCUUCAAUUUGGCUCUAGUUGGUGAGGUUGUGUGAGGAAAUUGGCCUUAUGUGACCAAUUGAUCAAGUUGACAAGAUGGGCUGAAGAUAAGAGUGAAAAACACUCAAGUGCCAUAGAUAUUUGUGGUUGACUUGCUUGCUUCUUGUCCCCUCCUUGUUCCCUCCUUGUUCCCCCUCUCUCCCUCUUGGUUCCCCCUCAUUCUCCCUCAUUCUCGACCACCCCCAGUAGAAGCCCCCUUGUGCUGCCUUUUCCUUAUUCUUCAUCCUUUCUCCUCCUCCAUUGUUGAAGCAAAAAUAAAGGACUAACACUAGCCCUUGCACCGAAAUCGCAAGCUUCCGCCAGCUUGCCCUUGCGCCGUCCGAGCUGCUCGCGCCCUUGCGGUCCCCCCACGAGCCCAACUCCGUUUGCCUCGUGCCAUCCUUGCUUGAGCUGCCGUCCACAGCUCUCCAGCUCGUUGUCACUAAUCCCCGUGUCCGCUGUGUCUAGCUCCAGCCGUCCGACACUACCUCCAGCCUUCAGCCAAGCCGUGCGACCACUUAUAGUCCCUCGGUUCAGCCCCCUCCCGAACCGGUUUUCUCUCUUUAGCUGAGAGCUUGUUGGCUGUUUUCAGCCAUAUCCGGGCCUUCCUUAGUGUCGCUGUAGACCCGAGUUGUGGUCGCCGUCGUUGUGAACUGAUUUUUGCGCUAAACUGGUGAAUUUACCUCAUAAUAUCUAAUUAGGAUGCUAAUUACACUUAAAAGUGGAUUAGUGUCUAAUUAAUGGAUUAGUUUAGGCCUAUAUAGGAUUGAUGAUUAAUUUAGUUAGUUUAAUUAGUUAUUUAGUUAAUUAGUUAAAUUAAUUAGGUGGUUAGAUAGCUUAGAUGAUUAGUCUAAUUAGUGUAAUGUAUUUAUCCAAAGCUAGGUUAGUUAAUUAGUCCAAUUAGGUGGUUAGAUUAGCUUAGGUAGAUUAAUUAGUGGUUUAAUUUAAUUAUUUUGCAAUUUAUUUAAUUAUUUUGUAAUUUAUUUAAUUUUGUAUUAAUUAGCGGAAAUUAUACUGGGAUAGCCGGUUGUCAGAUUUUUGUGUUGAUCAUCGUGGUGCAGUUGAUUUGUGCAAUUGAUUGCUAAUUUAUGCAAUUGGAUGCUGAUUGAUGAUUUUUGAAUUAUUGUUUCAAAAAUAGGAAAUUUUGGUAUUUAAUUAGAAAAAUACCAGGUAUCAGUUUUUGAUGCAAAAAAUAUUUUAAGUGCUAUAUCAAAUUGUGGAAUUUUUUUAAAUGGGAGAGUAUCACGCUUUGUGGAUCAAUUUGACAGUGUGUCCACGCACAAUUAUUUUACCAGGUAUUUUUAAUAUGAAGAAAAUAGGCCAAAUACAUUAUUUGAAAUUGAGGCAUUUGAGUGCAAAGCACGAUAUCCUUGGUUGAGAUUGGAUGUGUGUGUGAUCGCUAUGAGAACCCGUCACCCAAUGAAAGUCGGGUGGGCGAUGCUUCUAUAUGGAAUACCCCACAUCAACAGAUGUCGGAUCGUGGUAGAGGCCGAACCGAUGCUCCUUCGGGAAUGCCGUCUAGAGGUAGACGUUGCCGUGCUCGACGGGGUGAGACGACGCCCGAUUAUGCCGGAGGACUACCGACUAUUGAGUUGGAAAUGACCCAGGUCAUAAGAACAUGGACACAUGUGAAUGAUUGAGAUAACCGUGCCUGAUUAUGGAACAAAAUUGUGUGGCAUGAAAUGGGACGUGUCAUAACAAUUUGGCCUUAUAAUUGGGACCCCUGUGAAUAUUUGAUGAUUGAUGUGCAAUGUCCCAGUUGUUAAAUAUGUUUGCUAUAUGCAUAUGUAUAUGAGAUGUGUUAACGUGCAAGGAGGUGCUGAGGCGAGGUAAGUCUUAUUUGAUAGGUGUUUAGGCUGCCUCUAAGUGAAUUAUCUUCCUAAUCUAGGUUUAGGGUGUAGACUCGCUGAGACAUUAUUUCACCCCGUCGUGGUUUAAUAUUUACAGGUCCUUAGAUGGAGGUGCGCCUCGUCCGUUUUGGGUGGUCGCGAGAGGUCGAGACCAAGCAUACUGUCUUCCCCCUCCUAGGGACUACCCGGACCCAUGAACUCGUAGUGACCACUAUCUGGGUUGAUGAGAGCCUACCUCAAUUGGUAUCUCAUCGCUUCAAGGUGUGGUUUCGCCACGAGCCUAACGGGGUUUGGGAGAGCCCCUUGGACGAUUUUGACGGACAUGUCGAAGGUGUCGAGUUGGAGAAGAUACUCGACCUCGUGUUCAACGCUGAUAUUAUAGCUGAUAUCGAGGCGAACCAAUUGCCUGAGGGUGAGGAGCCCGUAGCAAAGAUAGCUGACCCAUUAGACAUCGACAUCCUUGACGGUGUCGUGGUAGACCUAGAUCCCAACUAGAUUGGGUCUGGGGCAGCGUUAGUUUAGUAGCUCUUUUUGAGUCCAGGCCUUCUUGUACAUGACUCUAUAGGGCUGACUUAGUUUGUUUAUAAAAUAUUUUUUGUGUUAUCUGACUGUCCUGCUUUUCUAUCCCUUGUGUUUGUUGUUGUCUAGAGAUUGUUUAACUCGCUUCCGCAUAUGCAUAAAUCGUUUGGGUUGACAACGCGUCCUGGGAACGUCGCAAUUUAGUCGAUCGUCGAGGGAUAUGUGUGUGCCCAAUGUUCGGGGUGUGACGGAAUAUGUGCAACUUUAUUAGCUUGGUUCUGCCAUUUAUCCUAGGCAACAAUGACCCAUUCGUGAGAAAAUGGGGAAAGACGGCCAACAAUGUAUUAUGCGCACAUUUGAAAUAAAUUAAUAAGAUUGUUGCAGAUAUUUCUUAGAAAUUUAUUUAUUUUUUUAUAGUAGAAAGAGAAUAUUACUGAAGCGCACCAAGGGAGUGGAAACCCAUAUGCAAAAAGAGCUCGGUUACUCGACAAAUUAUGUACAGUGUUAAAGCAUUUCCAUCCGCACGACUUUCUAGGACACCAAAAGCAUAAUAUUUUUAACCAACUUUCAAUAAUUACAGAAAAGGGCGUUUCCUCUCCAAUGAAAGCUCUCAUAUUCGGCUCUCGGAAACUUAACUUAAACAAAUGACUUCCAACCAACAGAAUAUAUACAAAGACAUGCACAACAUAUGUUGUUCCAUUAAUGUUGAACACUUACAUAAGUUCUGGUAAUAAUACAAGUACCCGUGCGGGUAGUCGACCACCACACCGCCAGUGAAUCCAGCACGCAUGGCAGAACUUAAAAUCAACUCUGCUGGGCUAUGCUUUCUUGAUAAACUUGAAAAACUGCUCGUUUCAUCCCUUGCCAAGCAUCUAUAUGACGAGCCAAAAGAUGCCCUAAAAACACUCGAGACAAAUGUCGAUUAUAAGCCAGCCAAAUAGGGACUAGAAGUUCUGCAAGAUAGAAAGGCAGAAAAGAAGAAAUUUUUGAUCUGUCAGACAAUCAUCUAGUUAUCAUUCAAUGGUAAGGAAGACGCUUAAAUCUUAAGCGUGGCUCGUGAGAGCACCUAUUUGCGUUGCAUAACCACUGCAUGAAAAACAAAUAUAGAAUAAAAAAACUACAGAAAAGAAACCAAAAAGGAUUCCAAGUUACCCAUGGUAAAAUCUCAGAGAAUUUCCAGAAAGUGUAGCAAAAUUACGAAAUAAGAAUGUAUGGAAACGAUACAACAAUGACACAAGGUGUCUCACCAGGCUACGGUCCAUCAGUCCUUCAAACCCAACUAUGCCCAAGUUCUAAACAUUUCAUGUGCACACUUUACCCCAUAAGUAUCCACUUAAUAACAAGUCAUUCUUACGGAUCAUUCUUUUGGUGUCUAACUAGCAGAUAAAGGGGGAAAGACAGAGAGUUGAAUCUACCAAAGUUGAAGCACAACAGUGGCUACUUUCUGCAGGGAACUUUUCGUAUGGAUCAUUCUUUGAUUUGUCUGGCCCAAGCCAAGAGGGUUGUCACGCCCCGAUCCUUGAGUACAUGCCCAUCGCUCUCUGGUCGAUAAUAUUUUGCGACUUAUCAAGACGAGUCGCCGACCCUUUCAUUUUAUUGCACAUGCGAAGGUGAAUAAUAAAUCCCUUGACAGUAACCAUCUCGGGAUAGAAAAGCAGGACAACAAAUUCACAAACAAACAUGCCUUUAUAAACAUACCGAGUCAUGUACAAAGUCUGUAGCCAAAAGACUACAAAAGACUAGUCCUCCAAAUAGAAGUGGUCCUAACUGACCUACACUUUCGAUCACCUCUUCUCGACUCCAGCUCCUCCACUCGACGACCCUGAAAAUGGUUAUACAAUAACCAGUGAGACAAUGUCUCAACAAGUCCAAGAUCUAAACCCCAAUUAGGAGGGAAAUACGCCUAGAAGUGUUCUAAUCACACAAUCACACAAUCAAUGAGACUUACCUCAUCUCAGAUCCACCAUGCAAGUUAGUACAUUUUAUAUCUCAAACAACUUGAAAGCAUGAGCAACAACUAAGCUCAAUUAACUAGAACGCCAUACAAAAAUUCUCAAAUAAGCACAUGAGUAUUGAUUAUAGGGCCAAAUCGUUAUGACACAUGUGGCAUCCUGGAAUUUCAUAAAAAGUCCCUAAAUAUGCCAUGAGCUAUGGAUAGGCGAUAGAAGUACCUCUAUUGUAUUUUGUAGCCUCCUAGUCCAUGAGUUGCAAUGGGAUGUAAGGCCAAGUCUCUAAUGGAUGAAUUUUGGGAAAGGGAGUUUUAUCUUUGGCCAUGUGUAUGUGAUAAAUUGGAACUUAUGAAAUUAUAAUUUCAAGUGUAUAGUCAUCUUAAUUUGUAAUUUAGUACUUCAAUUUAAUAGGGAUUUAAGUAAUUUUAAAAGGGUUGAUCUUAGGCUAAUUAAGCUUGGGUCUUAGGCCCAAGAUGGAUGGGCCUAAGAUGGGCCAAGCUGGCCGGCCCAAUAGAAGCCCACAGAGGGGCUGUUGCCGGCCCAAGUGAGGCCCAAGAAGAGGAGUGGCCGGCCCAUUGCAUGGGUCUUGCCAAGUGGCAAGAAGAGCUUGCAUGCAUUGGCCAUUGGAGUGGCAAGUAAUCAUUACCAAUGAUGGAGAUUUUGGGGAAUAAAAGGAAGAGGAGGAGAGAGAGUGGCCGGUUGGUGGUAUUCGGCCAAGUGAGAAAGAGAGAGAGAGAGAGAGAGGGUUGCGAGAGAGAGAAGGGUGCCGAGAGGAGAGGAACUGAGGAGGAGGAGGAGCCGUCGCCGCCCGUUUGCAGCCGUCGCCGCCCGUUUGCCGCCCGUUUGCCGCCGUGUGCUCGUCGCUAGCUCGGUUUAGAGGCAAGUUAGGAUCCUCUUACUACUAUUGCAUAUGUGUGUUGCAUGUAUGUUUGGAGUAGUGUCGAAUUUUGGGCGAUUAGGAGGGAGAAACCGAAGCUAGAAUGACUUGUUCUUGUGUGAUGUUGCUGUUUUCGCAUGAACCGCCUGAGCCAGAAUCUCGUGAGAGCUUGCAUGCAUGUUUUGAGUUCGAUUUUGACUUUUAUUCCUUCAUGAAAGUUGUAGCCAACAUCUUAAACUACAACAUACUAAACGUUGGUGCAAAAUUGUGGAGAUUUAAGGGGUCAAACUCUCAUCCUACAGAGACACUAGAUCUGGAACUGUUUUGCUGACCUUGUGGUAGAUUUGUGGUUGCAUGUUGAUUUUUAUCAAGAAUCUCUCUUCGAAUUAUUCAUGAAACUUAUAGAGAACAUCUUAAAGAAUAACAUACUCAAAUUUGAAGUAAAAUGAACAAGUAUAUCCUAGUGAAUCGACUUACUCUUGAAGACGGUAAAUCUGGAGACGCGGUACUGGACACCCGAGACUUCAUGGACGUAUGUGGUGACUUUUCUUUAAAAAUUGGACUUAUAUCCCUUAAUGAAAGUUGUAGAGGACCACUUUAAGUAAAACAUAUCCAAAUUUCAGAGGAAAAGAAGAAGAAUAAGGGGGUAAAAACUCGGUAUUUCGGAGAUGACUACACUGGAUGUUUCGGUAUGAGAACCAGAAGCUUCGGACGACUAUAGGACAUUUUAUAAAACGAAUCUGGCCUAGAAGUAUUCAUGAAAAAUCUACUUUAGCGUCUUAAAUAUAACCUGGUAAAAUUUCAUAAUUUUCGGAGGUCAUUCAGGUAUUUUAAUCGAAUUAUUUCAAAAACUGCACAUUCUGUUUUUAUCCGAAAUUGCAUGCUGUAUUUGUGUAAAUUAUAUCUUUUGUGUGGAACUUUAUUGGCCAUGUGUUUUGCAUGAAAUAAUUAUCGUAUUGUCUUGUUUAUCACAUGCCUUAAUUUCAUGAUUUUUGGGAAUCAUAUGGAUAUUUAAUUUAAAUAUUUUCAAAAAUGGUACAAGCUGGAAUUUAAAUAAAUUUCAAAAAGGCAUGAUAAAUGAACUAUUUUAAAUUGUACGAAUUCCAUAAACUUUAUUUUUAUGAAUGAUUGCGUCUUGCUGCAUGUAUGAUGAUGACUGAUGAUGCAUGUAUAGAUCAAAGGAUGAAAGUGAUUUUGUUUGCCAUUACAUCAUGUGCCAUGCUGAGUUGAGACCUAAAUUGGUAAAUAUGAUCAAUGAUAAAUGAGGAAACUAUUUGUGGCGGAUGGUAAUGCCAUGGGAGUAUUAGGAUGCCCGGGAUGGGGGGUGCCGGAUGUCUGGAAUGUAUAGAGAUACAUGGCUGGAUGGCCUCGGGAGUUUCGAGAUGCCCGGAAUGGUUGGGUGCCGGAAGCCUCGGAGGUCUUUGCCCGAGGGGAUGCCUUGUGAUGCUAGUUGGGAUGUGAGAUGCCCUGAGUGUGGGGGUGUCGGAUGCCCGGUGGCCUUAAAUGGCUGGAUGCCAGAGGUUUUCUCGCGAUGCCAGGAUGGGGUGCGAGUGUAAAGUAUGGGAUGAAAUUGAUGAUCUUGAGAAAGAGUGAUGUGGUGAUCGAAUUGAAAAUUAAAAGUGGAAAUUGAAUCAUGCAUAUAUGACAUGAUAUGAUGAUGAUCACCUAUGGCAUGAUGAUAUGCAUAUAUGACAUGAUAUGAUGAUGAUCACCUAUGGCAUGAUGAUAUGCAUAUAUGAUAUGAUUGUGAUUAAGAUGUAUGAUGGUACAUGUAUGGCUUCAAGGUAAGUAUGCUUGGAUGCAUGAGUGACAUGUAUGAUGUUAUGAUUGUAUUGUAUGAUGCAUUGAGUGGUUAUUGGAUUCCUUUACCUGCUGAGUGGUUGUAUUCACCCAUUCGGGGACCAACAUUUCAGAUUAGUAGGAUGCCGCUCCCUGCUGUCACGCGGGGCGUAUUUUACGGCAUUCCUUCAGAUGUAGAGGUCGAGUGUGUGGAGAUCGACUGUCCCACCAUUCCUGGACUGACUUUUAUUCGAGUGCGCGCCUUCGUGAUGUACGACGUGGGCCUGGCUGGGGGCCUUGUCAUUCAGGAGUUUAUAUCCGUCCACGUUCGUCGAGACGGAGUGAUGCGUGGGAUGUUGCCGCCGCCAUCGCCUGAUGCACCGGGAUGGGUGUGAGGGCCCGUGCGUGAGGAGUAGGAGCUGCAACUUUUUGGGAUGUUAGCCGACACUAGCUGAUGGGAGAUCUUGCACGAUAGACAUAGUGGGUCGAGUGUUUCUUUUUGGGGUUGUGGCCGAGUGUAGUUAAAAAUCUUGGCCUUUCUUUUGUUGUAUCGACCCAAGAAAAAAAUCCAUCAUGAAAAUAUGUAAAUAAAAGUGUCUGGGCUCUAUCUUUUCUGAUGAUGUUUAGUGGUGUGCAAUUGCAUCAUGGUUGUUGGAGGGAGAGAUGGCGAUAUUAUAUUUUGCUUCCGCUAAUGAGUCGCGCUGGGACCGUUUCUUUUUAAAAAAAAAUGUAUGUCUAUGAUUUACGACGCUUCUUCUGAGAGAUGUAGCUAGUGUUCCAUUAGGUGUAACGUCAAGUGCCUGUGGCGACCCUAGGUGGUUCGGGGUGUCACAACACGUCCCAUACUAUGCCACACAAUUUUGUCCCAUAAUCCGGCGCAUUCAACUCAAUUAAACAUGCGUUCCUAGUUUUGAUCUCGGCAUAUAGCACGGCCUACUCUCUGUUCGGUGGUCUUCUGGCAUUGCUAGGCUUCGUCUCAUCCAUUGAGCAUGGCACGUCUCUUUCAGACGGCUUUCCUGAAGGAGCAUAGGGUUCAGAAUCUACUGCAACCGGCUUUACGUUGUCUAGGGGUAUCCCAAAUAGGGAUAACGUCCAGCUUAACAGCCUGGGACGAUUUCUCUUAACCAUCACACAAUUACUCAAAUAUGGCUCAGGGCACCGUGCAUUGCACUCAAAUACUUCAAUUAAAAUGGUGAACCUGGCAUUUUUCUUUAUAUUAGAAAUAAAUUGUAAACUAGUUGUGUGUGAGUACAUGGUCAACUUGAUCUAGAAAAAUCGACAUUCUUCCUUUUUAAAAUCCCACUAUUUUAUAUAAUACUAAAACUAUUUUCGGUGUCUAAACUCGACACUGGGAAUUUUCUGAAUAAAUAUUGGAAAUUCACAAAUUUGUAGAAAUGAACACUCAAUUGGAAAAAGUAACCACACCAUUGCAAUUAGCACGAAAUUCUGGUCAUCGGUUAUCCCGCUUUAAUUUCCAGAAAAUAUUUAAUAAUUAAAUAGUACUGAAAUUAAUUAAAUAAAUCAAUUUAAAUUCUAAAAAUACUAACCUAGGCUAGAAUCACUAAAUUAAAAAAUCGAUAUGGACCCAGAAAAUUCUCGAACCCUUCUAGAUAAAUAGCACAUCCUAUCUAGGCCUUGAUUAAUUUAAUCUAACCACCUAACAUGCACAAUUAACUAAUUAAAUCACUAAUUUAAUCUAACUAACCACAUAAUUCCUAAUUAAAUUAAACUAAACACCCCUUAGACGUCAUUAGCCUACUAAGAAGAGUUUAGUGCAUAAACUCACUAGUUUAUUGCGGAAAUUGGUUCACCGCGAUGACGACGCAACGGCAGCUGAAAUCCGAAUUUUCGGCAAUGUUGACGGACACAUGGACUAGGCCUAAAAGGCCUUGCAAGCCCACAGCAAAAUGUUGGGCUUGGCUUCGGGCUUGGGCUGCUUCGUGGGCCUCAAAUGGGCUGAUCUGGGUUUGAAGGUUUCGCUAGGCUGAGCGAAAUUUGCUUGGGCUCGUGGAUGGGCCCAACUGUUGGGCCGUGAACCUUCGCUGGAUCCGUGGACUGCUGCAGGUUGCUGAUCGUGGCUGAAGACGUUGGGGGAUGGGCCGUGAAGACACGUGGAGCUGCAGCUUGAAUGGGCCGAAGAUGCUGGACUCCACGGCUUGGCUGAUCCACGAGCGAAGACGGUUGGUUGACCAAGGGCGGGUGGAUUUGCUGGCAGCUGAAGAUGGAGACGCGAGCCACGGAGUUGAAGACGACCAUGCAGACGAAGGGGACGCGGGACACAGAGCUGCUAGGAACGUGCGGACUUUUCUUGCAGAAGGCCGCGUGGAGCUUCGGUGGACGAUGCUGUUGACCGAAGGGAGACAAAGUUUGCUGGAGGGUGCUCGUGAGUGGGCUUGCUCGAUUCUUUUUGUGCGGCCAAAUUGAAGACUCGAAGGAGAGAGAGCAGGCGGUAGUGGGCGGUCAACUUCAGUGAGCUUGGGACUAAUUUGUUGACUGGUGGAGGCUGGGAAAUUGGCAAGUGGCAGCAGUAAGAGAGAUGGAUUCGGUGGGCUGAAGCUUGGAACAAAAUGGAAGAGAGGGCUGAGCUUCGACGGUUAGAAUGAAGAAAAGCAGAAGUGUUCGAGCGUGCGGAAGAAGAUGGGCAGAAUGGGACGAUCGGCAGGAGCAAAGGAAGAAAAGUCCACAAGAAAUGUCUAAAAUCAUCAUAACUUAGCCUUUAAAGUCUUCAUGUUUAUCCUAUAGUCCCCUAAUUACUUUCUAGCAAUCUAAUUUCCAUGAAUUAACAAACUUUGAAGCCAAAAAUUUCUUCCCCUCGCAAAACUCCGAAUUUUCAUUUUUUGUCUUCAAUUUCUUUGAAAUUUUCUCCAAUUGGUAUCCAAAUUUGAUGUAGAAAAAGCCCACAUAAUUUCUACAAGUCCCCUUUGUUGGACGCAAAUUGCGCAACCCCAAGAUCUCAAUAACCAGAACAAGAACAUGCCUAAUUAAGUAGAAAGAUUAACGCACCUGUUUUGGGAUCCAUCGAACAUAAAGCGAAAGCAGAAAAGUGAUUACUCACAUAUAUCAAGGGGAUCCACGCAUCAAGUCCUUCUCCUCUAUUGCCCUCUGUAUCACUGGCUCAAUGAGGCGGCCCCCCCUCACGUUCAGCGUUAGGUAAACGCCCCUUAGGUGAGGAUACAUGUGAAAAUUCAGGUUAGAGGAGAGAUUUGAGCACUAUUUAUAGAGUUUCCAGCCAGUCCCUCUCAUUACGGGCCAGGCUCAACUCGGCCCACACUAGCCAGCCCAUAUUAGACUAAUUAAGAAACCUUCUAUCUCACCUUAGACUAAUCCUGUUUUACGGUAACCGUAAAAACAGUAAAUUACAAUAUCAAUUAAUUUAGUCAACAUUAGGAAAACUCUUACAUUCUCCCACUUGGACUAUAUUAAUUGAAAUCAUACUGUAUGUGCGCACAUUUGGUCUAGAAAUAAUUCUUAAUAGUCAAUCCUAUCCCAUAAAGUCUUAAACACCGAAUCAUGGCGGUAACUGCAUGUAUACACACAUAGCCUUCCAUGGACACAAGUGCUCUCAACUUUAUUGAUAUGGAUUUAAUAUGGUAGUGUGUCAAAUGAAUAACAUCUCUCAUAGAGAGAUCUCAUUUGUUAGUCACCAUUCUCUUACCUUAGGUGUCACAAAAACUUGUGCCACUAGAGAAUGCUUUAUGGUUCUAAUGAACCCACAUAUGUCUUAUCCUUAUGGUUAACCUUUCUUUAUGUAUCACAAGACAUAUGCACAAGGUUAAUAACCGGAUGCCCGGAUGCCCCUAGCCUUCACUCAAGGUUUAUACAAUCCCUUGAGACUUUAUUAAUAUGUAUUCAACAUAAUAACAAUACAUUCAAAAAUAUUUUAUUGAAUGCAAAAGUUGAUACAUAUCAAACCGUUACAAAGUGUAACGAACACAUAUGAAACUUUUAUCAAAGUAAAGCCAAAAUAGCUCCCACUAAAUAACAGUAUCCAAAAAAACUCCUAGGCCCAUGCUAAUGACAUGUCACUCAAAUAUACAUGGGCGUAGGCCUUUAGUUAGUGGAUCUGCAACCAUAUCAUCUGUGAAAAUAUGUUAUAUUAUAAGUCACCUUUCUGUACCGUUUCUUUAUGGUAAAAAAUAUUUGACCACCAUAUAUUUAGACCCCUUUAGACCUCUGUAAUAAAUAUAUAUAUUACUUCAAAUUUGUUAUCUCAAUACAAACGUAUGGGUCUAUUCAUCAAGUUAAAACAAUCAACUCCGUCAUGAGGUUCUGGAGCCUAAUAGCCCAAGUAACAAUCUAAAAGAAUGUUAUCAACACUGUAUACAUAGUAGAAGAUAACAUAGAACUUUAUUUACUGCACUUCCUACUAACAUAAAUUUGUAUCUUGUUAUUGAUAUUAUAUCAUCCUAACAGCCAGCAAAGUUAACAUAUGAAUACCUUACUCACUGCAAAAAUUAAACUUGUCUGUAAAUUAACAUAUAUUCUCUUGUCCUUUUAAGUACUUUAAAACCUUUUGGCAGCAACUCAGAUCGCGUCCUGGAUUCAACUUAUAUAUGCCUAAAAGUCCCAUCGCAAAGGCGAUAUUUAAUCUAGUGCAAAAUCAAAGCAUACAUUAUACUGUUAAGUGCACUGACACAAGGUACACUAUUUAAUUAGAUUUUCUCAAUAUCUAAAUAAGGACAAUGUGAUAGAUUUAGUCCAUCACCCUUAACAACAGGAGCAAUUCCCGGCUUGCAAUGAUGUAUAUUGAAUAUUUCCAAUAUAUAAUAAGCAAAUGUCCUCCAAGAAAAUCUAAUAUAAUAUGGCAAAAACAAUCCUUACAUACCUCAGUACAAAGGAUAUAAGAUGUCUCAAGGUCACAAAUUGUAAGCAAAAUAUCAUGUAUAUAGAGUAUGAGAAAAAACAAAUUUCCUCCCAUUGACCUUGUAGUAUAUUGAAUUGCUUUGUUCCUAAUUGAACAAGAUAACAAUACUAUAAAACUUUAAUAAUAUUGUUUGGAAACUUGCUUAAGGCCAUGAAUUAGAACUUUUCAGUCUAUACACAAGUUUACUUGAAUCUGCUGCAAAAUCAUCCAAUUGGACAAUAUAGAUUUUGUAUCUAUUUGGCAUAACUUUAUAUCAAAAUAAAUUAUCAAUGACACGUUCACUCUGAAAGAAUAUUUAAAGAAAUAAUUAUUUCUUCACUAUAAACAAUACACCCCUAUUUCAGAGUGAAAACAUUAUUAUCUUUUUUUUUCUAUGGCAUUUUAUCACAUACUUAAUUGAGAACAAGAAACAACAUUUAUAUAAGUUGCUAAAACAACCAUGUCGUAGAUAUUGUAAUCAUGCUUUCACAAAUAGACUAUAUAGUAUGAUGAUAUAACUGAUCGUCUUUCCCUAACAAAUCUCCUUAAUAAAGCUGCAACCACUUUAUUCUGCACUUGAGAGGUUUAAGAAAAUUUCAUUAUAAACUAUAUCAAAAAUAGUACCUUAAACCUCAACAAGUUUAGUCUAUGGUAUAGGAAAUUCAAUAAUUGUCUAUACCACAAUUAUCUGUAUAGGCAAAGAUAAAGACACAGUGAUUUUCCAUCGUACUAUUAUUCUUAAUAGUCUAAGAGCAGCUAUCAUAUACAAUUACGUUGAACUGCAUAAACUUUACAGUAUGUGAUUCCAUAAUACUUGUACCUUCUUUAGGGUCAUAAAAUUGAUACUCCUUUGAACAAUCUGAAUAAGAUACAAAAUAAUUCCAAGUGGAUCUAAAUUCCAACACACUUAAUAUUGAAUUAGAUAACCUCACUUCUGCAUGAUACUUCUAAAUUUCAUAUGAUUCAAGUAAUUUAUGUCCAAUCUAUAACUUAAAAGAAGUUUAUGAAACAACUUUGAUAAAAUACACAUUUUGUAUGUGAAAAAAUUGCUUUCAUAAUAUCAGUCCACAAAAAACCAGAUAAAUUAGUCUUACUAAUCAUACUCAUCACCAUGUUCAAUAUGGUGCAUUUAUGCCUUUCGGCCAAGUCUUUUUGUCAGAAUUUUCGGGUAUAGUAAUUAAAUUACCACUCUAGAAUCUACCAAGUAUUUGACAAAUGACCCUUUAAGCUAUUUCGCAUCGUCAUACUUGCCAAAAUACUCAUGGCCACUGUUAAACCUGACAACCAUUUAAGACUAAUUGUAAUUGUUUUAUUCUUUAUCUCGGUCAUUUUCCUUAAAUAGAAAACUUUCGGAAACAAUCUUUUAAUCAUAUACGAGAUGUAUAUGUCAUUAGGACUUAAACACAAUCUUUACAGAUGUGUCCUAAUUUCAAUAUCAGACAAGACAUAAUUUUAAGCAACUAAGGCUUCCAUCAUCUUCUAGCAGUGUAGUCCGCAGGCAAACCUCUUUUCAAGUGUUCCAGAAUGGAACGCUUCAUGAACAGUAAGCAAAUUCAAUUGCUCUUUUCUCAAGCAACAAAUCAUAUGUUCACAACUUAAAAUUUGAAGCAGUAAAAACCUCAAUAAUAAUGAAGUUAUUAAUUACAGAAAAUGUAACUGAAAAUCAAACAAUGUAUAUAAUUAGCAUCAUGUGAGUACUGUGUAACUUGACGUACAAGUACACAUCCAGAGAGUUACAUGCAUAAUCAUAUAAUCACCUUUGGUAGAAUACAUGACAUGCAGUUGUACACUCCCCACAUGAUAGCGGUUAUAAGAAUAUAUUCCAAUUCUUCGUGAAUUCAUCACCUUUGGGCAUAUGAAUCACUAGAAUCAGUCACUCCUCCACCACACUAUCAUGUAUCCCUCCAUGAACUAAUACACAAUCACCUCCUUUGGGAGUAUGACUACGAAUUAGAUCAAGAGACAUCCCAAUCAUUAUAUGAGACCGAAAUUUCUCAAACCCAAUCAAGUGUGCCACUUUGGCGGUCACUACUCAAUUGAAUCAUUAAAAUUCUCUCAUACUAGGGAUAUAAACUUUACUUAUCACAUACACCAUAUAUAUGUGAUUUUAACUUUAAUGAUAGGGGCAUCAUAUCACCAAAAUCACAUAUCAUACUAAUUACACUACUUUAUUCAUUAAUAAAAUUAAUCAUAUAUAUAUACAGCGAACCUGAAAGGUAGAUUCCAAUGAGAUCAUUGAUCACAGUAACACAAGAAACUUCUCAUAACAGAGAAUAAAACAUCUCUUAUGUACCCCAAUUACAUAUUACCAGAACAACAUAAAAAGAAUGUUGACCUAAAAUAUCUCUCACAAAUUAACAUCAAUAGUAAUACAUGGUACACCAAAUCGACAAGCUUGACAGCUAUUAUCACUCAUGAGUUCAUAAGGCAAAAAUGACUCCAAGGCCAACAACUAAUUUAUUAAUCAAUUUUAGGUAACAAAUAUCAUUACUUCAACCGGUGGCCUAUAAAUUAAGUCAAACAACAGAACUAAAUAUCUAAACUAUAACAGUAGAUACUAUUGCUCUGCAUAAAUAUUGUCAUACUCCUUAACCAUAAAAAUAUUCAACUUGAUAGACAUUAACAAGUGACCAGAUGAGUUCAUGUACAAUAUGCAGUAACUUAAUCGACAUGCAUUACCCACAUACAGCAGAUAUGUUAAUCAGUACAAUCAGUUUGGUCACGAGUUCUUAAGACGUCCAUCAUUCAAAGAUUACCAGCGUGACUUGAGCAACAAAAGUUUUAUAAUCUUUACUGUUUCUCAUCAGCUCAAUACAUAGCUCAAUUACUAUUCCAUAAUGGUUAUAUCUCAUUAAGCCAGCUUCAGUUCACAAUAAAGUUUGAUUUUUAUUGAUGAAUCACACAUUUAUAAUGAUUAUGUGAUAAUAUACCAGUAACCCAACACUUGUAUUUCCAAAAUCACAGAAAAUACAAGAAAAAUACGCAAAAAUACACUAAAAAUACACGUAUUUAGGGCUUUGUAUGUAUUUUCACAUCCAUAAAAUAAUCAAACAUAUAAAAUAUAUAUACCACGAGAUAGGAAAUCACCAUACGAGUCCAACGCCGCCAACCACGCACCGAUCGGAGCCUCCACGCACCCACACGCGCCGCCUGAGUGCGCCGCCCGUGGAGCUCAUGUGCGGCGCGCAUUCGAUGCCCAGGCGGCGCGUGGCCUCGCGUGGGGGUGCGUGCGACGCACCACCUACCGUCUUGCUCGUCUCGUCGAGCCCAGUCCGAAUUUGUGAUUUUAUUUUAUUUUUAUUUAACAAAAAGUCUUGAAAAUCACAAAUUAGGGCAAAAACUUUAUGCGUUCAAGUUCUAGGGUUACGGUUGCUCUGAUACCACAUGUUGGACGCAAAUUGCGCAACCCCAAGAUCUCCAUAACUAGAACAAGAACAUGCAUAAUUGAGUAGAAAGAUUAACGCACCUGUUUUGGGAUCCAUCGAACAUAAAGCGGAAGCAGAAAAGGGAUUACCCAUAUAUAUCAAGGGGAUCCACUCAUCAAGUCCUUCUCCUCUAUUGCUCUCCAUAUCACUGGCUCAAUGAGGCAGCCCCCUCACGUUCAGCUUUAGGUAAAUGCCCCUUAGGUGAUGAUACAUGUGAGAAUUUGGGUUAGAGGAGAGACUUGAGCACUAUUUAUAGAGUUUCCAGCCAGUCCCUCUCAUUAUGGGCCAGGCUCAACUCGGCCCACACUAGCCAGCCCAUAUUAGACUAAUUAAGAAACCUUCUAUCUCACCUUAGACCAACUUUGUUUUACGGUAACCGUAAAAAUAGUAAAUUACAAUAUCAAUUAAUUUAGUCCACAUUAGGAAAACUCUUACACCCUUUGCCAUAUAGCUUGGUUUGCAAGUCAAAAAUCUUUUCAAUUCGGCCAAUCCGAAUUUCUGUUUGUUUUCCGAAACGUCCGAAUCGAUUUUUCGUAAAAAUCCCAAAAUCAUCGAAAAAUUUUCGGAGGAUGAGUCAUCGUUCCUAAAAUAGAUCGUGACAUCACAUAAUUUUCAAUUUCUAAAAUCGGAUUCAAAUUCGUGGUUAAUUUCAAUCUGGCGCACUUUUAGCGUGAGCUAAUCUCUGGAUAACUUUUAGGAAUUUUUGGUGAAAUUGACCUGUGAUCGAUUUAUUCUCGAGUCACAAAGUACAUUUUCGACUCAUUGGCGACUCUCGGUUAGCUUGAAAAUCUUGAGGUUUGAAUUACAGACACUAGGUACCAAAACGAUAGAAAAAUCGGUCUAGUGCCGAUCAACGAGUAUUUUGCAAUAAGGUGGAAUCACCCACACUCUGAUCACAUAUCUCAAUUGAAUCGACCUAUCUCUGGUCUCUAAUCGAUUUCUGACAGUGCCAUAAUGACUCUUGUAGACCAACACGGUCGAGCAGUCGAUUCCUGGUCGAAUUCUCAAGUCCAUUGUAUUUAGAUUCCUUAAUUAUUCCGCCAGAUAGUCCAGUUAUCUCAUGAGUGAUCAACUCAGAGAAUAACAUUAUCAGUGUGUCGAUGAAAUGCUUGAUUUAUUUAAUUGAAAACGAAAUCUGAAAAUUCAGGCUGUCACAAGGUCAAUCAUGCAUCCAUAGCUCUCACUAGUUGGAGUGAUGCUGUAACCUUUGCUCAUACGUCCGAACAAGCGCCAUGCUCCAUUAAUUAGACACUUCCGAUUGCAGACCAUUGGACCUCCAAUAAACGUCACAGCAUUUGGUUGGGGCCCCUAUUUUCCAUCUCGUAGAAAAACUGCAGCCCAGUUUCAUUCUCACCAUUGACAGAAAACCCCAACAUCAUUGCACUCCAAGUUGUCAAUAUCUUUAAGAGGCAUUUGGUCAAACACUUCUUUGCGCGAAUCCGACGAACCCACAUGUGACAAGAAAAUAAUCAAUGCAAUUCGUGGCCCAAGUUCGUAAACAAUGCCACUCUCAUCUAUGUACUUAUGAACCCAUUUUCCUUCUUUAGAGGCUUCCACAAUAGCACGGCACAAUAGCACGACGCUAAGUACGCUAGCCUAAAGAGAUCCACUUAAUUUAACCGCUCGUUCCUAACGUAGCUAGAGAUCAAGGCACUGUAGGAAACAUCAUUUUCCCUGGCACUGAAUCGAACAGCCCUCGAGCUUCCUACAUGAGGCCGAUGCUACAAUACCCAGUGAUAAGGCUCGUCCAGCAUUGAACUCUGAUCAGACAGGCGAUGAACAACACUCGCAGCCCAAUGCCUUUCGGCACAUGCUUAUCGGAGAACCCACCACGUAUGCAUCACAAUCUCGCCCGAACUUCAUAGCCCGGUGGCGAAGUUGGCCAAGCAAAGGAAGAGCGAGUGCCAUGGCCCGACCAGUGAAGUGGAAGUGUGGGCAUAUGGCGAGCUUAGACAGAGACCAGCCUUCCCACGUUCGAAGUACCCCCAAGAAACCCAUCAUCCCGACUCCCAAAUCGAAGACAAUGGCGGUGGGUGAGUGGGAACACGAGAGAAAAUGCGCGCCGCGUAGUUCAUGUGGCUGCAAACGGAAGCGAGAGAGGUCGGAGAUGAUGGCGUGGGUGGUCGGUCGAUGGUUGAGCAUCUUCGGAGAAGGUUGAGCGUGUGAUAUAUUUAUUCUAUAUAUGUCUUCUUCUUCUUUUUUUAAUAGAGAAAUUAUAUAUUAUAACCGUCCAUUUAACACCCCUAUUCUAUAUUUGUCUUUAAACAUUUUGGCUGUGUUCACAGCCAAUUUUAUUAUGGAAAUAGCGAGUUUCAAGAAAUUGAAACCUAAUAUGAUGGGAGAAUCAUUUUAUGCCAUUUAGAACACAAAGGGAAUAAAAAGUUAUCGUGAUUUAUUUCUUGAUCAGUCCGCCCACAAUCAACUUUGGUCACAAAAUAUAUCAUAUUUGAGCGUAAUAAUUAUUGAUCACACUUUGUAAGAGAAAACUGUAAUCCACGCGCAAUUGCAUGACGGAUCAAUCUACCAUAAUCAACUUUGCCCACUCAAAGUAUACCUUGAUAUAUACGAAUAUAGAUAUAAACAGAAUAAAACAUUUCCUAUAUAACCACAGUGGAGAAAGAAAUGAAACAAAAAAAAAGUUGAAGACGUUAGGACUGGGCUUCAAAAGAAACACUCACCAAGGAUUGAUGCUCCAUUCGUUUCGCAGAAAAUAACUUCCAGGAAAAUAUUUUCCGAAUUUUCCGGUGUUCGGAUGGCGGAAAAUACACGGUCAACGGAAAAUAUUUUCCGUUGACCGGAAAAUCCUUCUUGAAGUCACGGAAAAUGACUUCCUCUUUUCAAAAGAGGAAAUCAUUUUCCGCACCUCUCACGCGCUCCCGCUGCUCUCUCCUUCCUUCAUCAGUUCACGUUCUCUCUCUCUCUCUUUCUUGCUCUCCCUGCUGCAAUGGCUUUGACAACGUCCUUCUCCGGGAUCAGCCUCCGCCCUCCCCAGCCGCUCCUGCCCGCCUGCUCCGGCCGGGGCGCCGCCGCCGCCGCCGCGCUCCGCUUCCCCGGCAGCUCGAAGCCGCUCGUGAGGAUCCGGCUCAAGAGGGAGCACCGCGGCGACGCCGGGAGGCUCGCGGGGAGCCCGCCGUCCAGGCCGCUCGUCGUGCGGCCGCGAGCCGUGAGCUCGUCGGAUCGGCGGCGGAGCUCGCGGCUCGCCGGAUCUAGCGGCAGAGCUCGGGCUCUCGAUCCGGGUGAGCUCGAGCUUUGUCGCUAGAUCCGGCGCGCUCGGGUGAGAUCCGGUGAGCCUCGAGCUCGCCGGAUCUGGCGGCGGAGCUCGCGGCUCGCCGGAUCUAGCGGCAGAGCUCGGGCUCCCGAUCCGGGCGAGCUCGAGCUCUGUCGCCAGAUUCGGCGAGCUCGGGUGAGAUCGGCCGAGCCUCGAGCUCGCCGGAUCUGGCCACCGGGUCUUCGUCGGCUGCUGGGCAGCCGGCCAUCGUCAGGCAGGAAGGAGGCGGCGGCGGCGGAAGGAGGAGGAAGAAGGAGGAGGAAGGAGGUGACGGCGGACGAAGCUGCUCGGGAGGAAUCGGGAGGAAGAAGGCGGAGGAAGGAGGAAGGAAAAAAAAAGAAAUAAUAAAUAAUAAAAAUUUCUAUUUUAAAAAAUAUAAAUAAUUAAAAAAAAUCAUUUUUUAAAAAAUAUAAAUAAAUAAAAUAAAUUUUUUGGUCAAUUAAAAAUAUUAAAAUUCAAUUUUUGAUAAUUUUUUUCAGGAAAAUGUUUGAGCUAACGAACAGUGGAAAAUAUUUUCCACUCAAAUUUUAGAUUUUGGCCGAACACCGGAAAAUAAAGUCAUUUUCCUGGAAAACAACUUCCAGGAAAAUGUUUUCCGGAAACAUGAUAUUUUCCGUGAAACGAACGGAGCCUCAAUUUCUCGAGAGAAAUAGAGAGAGUCUAAUUGCGUAGAAUAAUAAAAUUGUAAACAUAAAAUAAAAUUUUUCAUUGGUCAUCAAACAAAAGAAAUACUAAUUUAAGAUUAAGUCUCAUUAAAAGAUAUGUUUGACCCAUGAAUUCUAUAUGCUCUUUUAAGUUAAAUGACUUUCAAAGGGUGAUUCUUGCACUUGUGAGCCCUUUUUAAAAUGAUAUAAACAUGUAUCGAUCAUCGUCAAUCCAAGAAAACGGCUGCGCUUUAAUAGAUUUUACAUCUUAUACCAUGUUGAAACCAACAUUUUUCCUUCUGGUUGUUGCUUCUCCAAAACGGCAUGUCCCUUUAAAGAGGAAGCAACUAAUUGUACUCAACAAUUUCUAGAUGCAUACCUCUAAAAGAGAAAUUGGUUUACGUCAAUAAAUCUUUCAAAUUCAAAUCUCGAGAGAACCAUCAAGGGAAAAAAAAAAUCGAUCAGGUCUGAAUGAUUUAGACUGCACCUAGAACUGAAUCGAUUAUCAAUGAUUCACUAGGAAUUGGACUAGUGCUCACCCCUAGAUAGUAUGUCUGAAUGUAAAGAAUUUGUGCAACCAACUAAGAUCUUUGGUUUUACGUACCAGUGAAAAUGAUUUUCCUGAAUAAGUCAAUUGAAAACUUUAGUUGUGGUUACAGAAAUUUCUAGGAAGAGUUUAACUAAGCGAUGCAAAUAUUUUUUAACUGAACACCGGUCGCGAAGGUCCAUAGGUGUAGAGAGCAAAGCUCAAGCCAUAUGUGUUCUUGUUUUCUUCAACUAGUUAAUUGAUAACCUUCUACCAUGUCUUUAUUCAUAUAAAAGAAAAUACUUUUAAUACCUUCGCUAAGAUUUCAAGCAAAGUUUAGAGUUCCAAGGCAUUGGAGUUUACUAUAUCUGUUUUUGUUCAAGAAUCUAGCCUUGCGCAAAAAUAGAAUUCCGAGAAUACAACCCUUUCGAUGUCUUGCCGAAAUAAUUCAUGCUUAGCACAUCAACAAACACAAUAAAGUGAUCCAAAUGCUGCAUCUUCUCGAUAGUCUCUUUUAUGUGCAUUCUCGAUAGCGUUGACUUAUGUGCAUUCAUCACUACGUGAAAAGAAUAAAAGAAACUUUUGAGCUCUAGUCGAGCUCUCGUUUUUACUCGAACCAGUCACAUGCCAAUAAUAAAAACAAGGCAAAAAUCAAAUUGCAGAGAGGACGAGCAGUUAGUAGUUUCUCUUCCACAAUGGUCCAGAGGAACUCUGCUGCUUCUCUGUGCGCCGUAUUGCCGGGGUACCCUUGGAUCUAUAACCACCUGAUCAACAGCUUCCGAUGAAUUCUCCACAGGUGGCUUAAGAGGCCAAAAAUUUCCAUUCCUAGGGAUUAAAGAUGCUGGAAAAUUCCCGUCAUGGCGCCAUCCCUGACCUCGGUUCUGUGUGCUUGUCUGUCAAUCUAUGCCUUGACCCACUUGACCUCAACCCCUCAAGUUUAAAGGAGUCUUACCUGGUAGGGGAGCAAGAAUUAGUCCUUAGGUAUCAAGAACUCUUUGGGGACAGAAUCCAUGUCCACGUAACAAUUUUUGGCUUUAGCAUCAGCACUCCGCACAGCCCAGUCAUCAGACUGAAUCAAAGGUUUGUGUUUCCCAUUACCUAAUAAGAGUAAAAGACACUAAAACAAUCACAAUCUAUCCUUGUAAGUGACAAAUAAACAGGACACAGAGUUGGCCAUAAAGACAAAGGUAUACAACAGGGCUGAUGAAACCAUACCUUAGAUGCUCCUAUAUACCGAGUAAACAUGGGUGUCGUGUGGUAAGAGACAGAACCACCUCAGUGGGAUUCCCGACCAUAUGUAAUAUCACAAAUUAAGGUCUAAGCAAUGGCUCUCUGUAACAUAUUUAAUCAUGUUACUUGACCAGUCUCACUAUCGAUUAGGCGUUCUUGGUAAUAGUAAUUGGAAGGGACAUCAUGGAUUUGUUAAUGUAUCCUAUACUGAACAGACAACAACAUUGUUGCGGAAUCCAGCUUGCUGAAACAGCAACAGAAACAUCGAGUAGCACCAAGAGAAACGGAAGGAAGAACUGCCACUUGAUUGGCCUGCAAUGCCUCAUCAAUGACUGCCAUUUCGAAACCAUGAGAAAGGCGAGAGAAUAAAUUUCUACCACUGCUUGACAGGGUAGUGAAGACAAUCUCAGCUUCAUAUGAGAUCCAUUUUUCAAAGAAGCAGAAACAUUUUCUUGAACUAUGUGAUGUGAUUUGCAUAUGGAUUGAUGGAUCUAAAUUGCCAAUCAAGCAUUGAUGCUACGCUUAGUAUCAUAUAGGAAUAAAUUGACUCAUCUGAAUUCUCAUCGUUGAAUCAUGCUACAUUUUUCAUACUACCUAGCAGAAUUCCACUUCGCUUUUAAUAACCCUUGAUGACAGAAAUGCAAUGCAACUCAUGCAUACAUAUGAUUAGCAUUACAUUGAUCAAAUUUUGGUUCUUCGAAAACCCCAACUCUCUGUACCAUCCCCACCACGACACUCAAGAGGGAAUGUGACAUCCUGAAAUUCGAGCUCUUUGUGAGAGAAAUGAAUGUGAAUUUUGCCAAUGCAUUGUUGGUUGAUCUCACUCGGAAUUGAUUACUCCUGAGAUACUAACCUUGAGGGGAAAGGCUAAUGAGGACAGAACUCGUACGACUAAAUAACUUGACUUGGGAAAACGACUUGACCGUGAGACUUGCGUGAGAACGAUCCUGUAGAUAGGCAGGCUAAUUUCAAGGAUGACUAGAAGUCGAUUUGCGAACAUAACAUAAUGGAACGACGGGUGAUUCCGUUUACUGUUAUUGAGCUCGUGAACGACCCUAUCUCGAUCCUUAAUAAUCGUAUACUUUGAAAUAAGAAUCUAUCAUCCGCAAUUUCAUGUAGUCAAGGACGUCCAUGUGUCGAGAUGUCUUGAACGUGGUUUGGCACGAGUCGGUUACGCGUGAAUCCUCAAAGUUGCCCGUUAGUAUGAGUUGUACCCAAAAUGGCAUUGGACGAAAUUGACAUGGCAUGAGAACUAAAGAUUGGACUUCGAAUUAUCGGUAAUGUUUGGAUGGACUUUGGAUGAUGCGACUUCGAUAGUCAACAGUGCCAAGCAAGCCGAGUGUGGAGAAAAAAGACUUGAGAACCGAGAAGGCAAACCUAUGAGGACGUGGGCCGAGUAAAGCCAGUGUGGGCCUUACGCCCAACGUAGGAUAGCCAUGGUGGGCCUAGGGCAAGAAAGUGAGCCCAUUGGGCCAAAAACCACUAUUCCUCCUUCCAAGCCCAUUACCAAACCUUAAGCCCAUUUGAGCCCAACCAAUUCUUGAGCCUGUUACUAUUCAUUUCCAAGCCCAUUUCUUAGGCCCGCCCAUCAAAUUCGGCCCAAGGGAAAAUUGGGAAUUUGUGCAAGGGGAAAUUACCAUUUUGCCCCUAAAAGCAAGUGGAUAAAGGCAAAACAAGAGAGAGAAAGAUGAGGUGAUGUGCAUGGGGAUUUGGGGCUUUGAUGAGGUUUGACAGCAGUUCAAUCCUCUCUCUCUCUCCUCCUCCUUCAGCCCAAAUUGUCGAGCUCCUCUCUCCCUUUGUUCCACCUUUCUUCUUGCUUCUGUUCUAGCAAACCUUCCUCCAAAGAUUUGAGUUGAUUGUUGGCUUUCAGGACGAAUCAACUCCCGUGCCACCCACCACUGUGUCAAGGACACCUAGACCAUCUGCCUGGAGUUGACUGUUUGCCAGUCGGAGCCGUCGUUUAACCCGCCGGUUGGCCAGAAGCCAAUGCUAGUCCGACUGUCUAGUCAUGUUCUGCUCCAGUUGACCUUUCUUCGAAAACCCAAGUUAAAAGUUACAUUCCCGUGCGAAUUAGCUCACACUCCACCCACCACCGUGACCGGCACAUCUAGACCGUAUCGAAACACCCCCGCCGCUCGUCGGAACGAUCUGCCAACCAUCCCGUUUGCCGGACCGCCUGGUUCCGCUUGUUUCACCUUUGCAGCUCGUUUUCUCCCAUUCUGACCCUUCCUCCACUCAUCCCAACCUCUAGCAACUCCCCCUUGACCCCUAGGUUCCGCCGGUUGCCGGCCAACCCCUUGCCGGAGCUCCGAUGAAGCCGUUUCACUCAUUUUCCUCCUCUGCUGUUCGGUUUCUUGGAAUUGCUGAGGGAGUUCGAGCUUGUGGCUGUUGUUUUAGCCUUGGGACCACCUUGGAUCGUUGUUGUUGACGUCUCGGUGCAUCGCCUCCGACGUUGUCGCCGCGUGCGUGUCUUCGGCACGUUUAACGGGUGAGUGUAGCUCCUAAACCUCAGUUUAGUGCCUAAACUUGCUUAGGGUUGGUUUAAUUAGUGGUAAUUCUAGUUUAGAAGAUUUAAUUGAGUUAUAUUAGUCCUAAUAUAGGUGGUUAGAUUAGUGGCUAAGAUUAGUUUAGUUUAAUUUUACUUUAUUGGCUUAAAUGUGGUUUAUGUGCUUAAUUAGGCUUGUUUAACCUUAAUGGAUUAAUUGCUUGUUUAAAUUAGUGUUUUUAAUGAAUUUUGGAUUUAAUUUAUUAAUUAUUAAAUUUUGGAAUAUAUUGUUCACGACACAAUUCACACGCACUGUACAUGAAACACUGUUUAUGCGCACUGUUCAUGCGCACUAUUCACACGAGAAUGAAAAGUGUCUAAUUGCAUGUAUUUUAAUCGCAUGUAUUUUAAUCAUAUGAUGUGAUUUGAGUAUAUACAUGCAUGAGCAUCAGUAUCAAUUGAGUGAAUUUCACAAAAAAGGAAUAAUGGAUUGUCUGAGGGACAUUAGAGAUGGACCGUUUUUAUGAGAGAAGGAUUUGAGGAGGCAUGUUCGCAUGAUCAAAUGUUGGACCCUCACCCAACGGGAGUUUGGGGACCGAUGUUCCUUUUGGGAAAACUGUCUGAACGGGAGUUCGAGAUGUAGCCGUGCCCGACGAGGCAGGAUGAAGCUCGAUCUUUUUAUCGGUAGUCGUUGGGAGUUGGAUGAUCGCUAAUUGGAAAGUUAGCAAUGGCCGGGAGGUUAUUAAUAACUAGAGCACGCAUGAGUGUUGAGGUGGAUGAGCACUAAUCGGAAAGUUAGUUAUGGCCAGUAAGUCAUUAGUAACUUGAGUACUCGUGAGAGUUGUGUUGGUUGGGCCUUACUAUGGGGUAAAAUUGUGUAGCGCGGUAUGAGACGUGUCAUAACGAUUUUACCUUAUAAUCAGGACCUGUGUGAUUGAUUGAUGCACGAUAGGUGGCGCACUAAAGUGCAAGAACGUAUGAGAAUCAUGACAUCAUUAGUUUCGGUUAUAUAUGUUGAUCACAUUGUUUAUGGCACGCACGCAUGAAUCAAUAACAUGCAAGGUGUGGCAAUGGCCAAGUGAGAUUGCUUGUGAUGCGACUCAUAUGUGAUUGAUGAACUGCAUCAUCUAACGGCCAAGUGCAUUGCGUGUUUUGUGCUGAGAUUCAACGUGCACGGUAUGGCAUACCAGGUAAGGUUGCAUGCAAACCGACUAUGUAGUUAGUGGUUACCCUAGUUGUUGUGAUUUGUUGAUUGUUGGUUGUCAGUUGUGGUUGGUUUGUGGGGUGGUUCUGGAGAGAUACCCUGAGUUGAGUUGGUGUUCUAAUCGAGGGCUUAAGGGAUUUCAGGUUCUUAGGAUGGCACUUCCGCCAAUGAGGUUCAGUAUCCCUAAGGACUGGGAUACUUUGUGACGCGCCACCGCUUCUCGGGUCGAGCAUACCUGUACGAGAAGUAUCUCACUACCAUCUGGGUGGAUGAGGGACCAAGGCAAUGGACACCGCUUCCCAGGUCGAGCAUACCUGUACAAGAAGUAUCUCACUACCAUCUGGGUGGAUGAGGAACCAGGGCAAUGGAUACCCCAUAGGUUCUUGGCAUGAUUCAUCUGGAAUGGAGAUAUGUUAUUCGGUCCUCUGCAAGGUUUUGACAGGCCACUUGGUAGGGGCCUUGAGGACGAUGAUUAGGAUCUCAUGGAGCUGGACCCUCCUGACAGCACAGUGGAGAAUCCUGGCCUCGCUUCACCAGCAUCAGACCCGUGUGGCUCCAACUAUGAAUCGACGGGGUCUAAGUCCUUUGGAUCCGAGUGACGGUAGGAUCGAGCCCGAGAGUUCUUUUUGGUGUAUAGAUUGGGUUAGCCUAGACUAGUCUCUUUUUGGUCUAGCUUAGAGGAUGGAUCGGCCCCUCUGUUGGGCUUGUAAAUUAGAAAUGAUCCUCCGUAGGUUAAUCCAAUAUGAAAAUGUAAAAUGUGUAUAUAUGAGUAGAGGUUGUAUUUCUGCUGUUCAUCUCACUAUCCCUAUUUGAUUGCUUGAUUGUCUGUUGAUGAGGAGAUGGUUCGUUUUCCGCUUGCGCAUAAUGAAAGAUUAAAAAUGAAAGGGGUAGCGAUGAGUCCUGGGACAUCGCUUUCUAUCGACCAAGGAAGGGAUUGUUGCGUGCCCGGGGUUCGGGAUGUGACAGGAAAGCAACUCACGAGUGUUGAUUAGCACAAACUAUCAUCUUCCCAAUUGCGUGCGACACAACUUACUCCGGCAGAAGAGACCGAAGAGGGAUAGAUGAACUGUGCAGUGGACUAAGAGGGGGCGUAAAACCACCGCCAGAGAAAGCAGCGGCGGUGCCCUCGAAUUGGCUUCCAAAUGUGGCCAUCUUCUCUGUUUUGUUUCCCUUUUUAUUUUUUUUUCACUUGAUCAAGAGGGAAUUGUUUCCAUUGUUGGUUCAUUCGAUCCUCGGAUUUUUUUUUUCCUGUUAUGGAGCUUCUUUUUCCGUCUGUUUCUCGAUGUACUUCCAUAAGAUUCCACGAAAGAUUUCCUGGGUUUUCUCGUGCUUGGGUUUCAACGUUACUCGCGAAAUCUUGUUCAACCCACUCUUGGUAGCAACAACACAGAGAAGAUAGUCUAUUGCGGAUACAGUUUGAGGCUAAAGACAAGAAAUUCCGAUUUUUUAGGCCCACCGACCGCUGUCUUUAAUUUCUCGGUCAAGUGGCACCAUUUGCUAGUUUUCGUUGAUCAAAAUCAAUUUUGAGUUGUUUAACUGGACACAUCCACUUCUAAUGCUCAAUUUUGUGGGCAAACAUCACAAAAAAUCUCAUACUAUUCGCACUGUGGCAUAAAUACCCAAAGCUUUUUAUUUUUAUUUUUUAUAUAUAUCACAAAAAGUUAAUAAACUUGCCCACUGUGACACAAAUACUUCUGACUUUUUUUCGUGUCACAAACAAAUCCAAUGUAUAUAUAAAUAUUUUAUAUUUCAGUUCUAUUCAGAGUAUAUUUGUCACAAUUGGCAAGUUUAGGAUUUCUACUAAUAAAAAAAAAUUAGGGUAUUUGUGUCAUGGUUGGUAUAAUUUGAGUUUUCUGAGGUAUUCAUCCUUAUUUAUUUAUUUAUUUAUAAGCAAUGCUUUAUUUGCUUUUUUGAGCAUGGGUUUUUUAUUCAAUCAUGUGAUUGAGAUGCGUUUGUUUUUAUUUAUUAAUAUAACUGAAAAAAAAUAUUUGAUCACGGAUGCUGAGAGAAAGUGUGCGUGCCCACUCUAGCAUUAUUAAUCCUUGUUAGUUGAUAUCUAGCCUUAAUCAUGUAAUAAAAAUUGCGAAUAAAGUGUGGGGCAGUGAGAGUACUUUGUGUUAUAUAUAGAGUGGUUAGGAUUUGGUUUUAUACACCUAAUCUAGUGCCUUGUCUGAUAGUGUAAAUGAAAGUUCCACGUUAAACACGUGCAUUUGAACACAGCCAAAAAAAUAGAUGAUGAGUACACAUACAAGUAUCUUGACGUUGUAGCUAUAAACGAGUAAAGAAUUCAACAUAUGGGCUUGAGGUUUCAUGCUCUUGACGUUGUGACUCUCAUGUGCUAAUAAAUGUCCACCAAAUGGUUCAUUGACUUGAUACUACACACCUAACUAAAGCAACAUAUCUUUCUCCAUCCCUACUAAAGCCAGACCUCCAUUAGAGAAUUGCAAAUAAGGAUAAAACCCAUUUGUAAAUUUAACUAAGUUGAAAUUUUUGCGAUGUCAAAUUAUAAUUGGAUCUUCUAAUUAGGGACGGAGGAAAUAACAUGGCCCUUAACUAAAUAUUUUUUAUUUUUUGACAAAAAAAAAGCUAAACAAUUUUUGUUCAUGUGCAUGUUCAAAGUUCAAAGAAAAAGAAGAUUUAAUUGGAUCAAUAUACCAAUUUUCACUAAUAAAUAAAAAAUUCAGAAGAAGCCGUUCAGGUGGAGUCUAAAAGUGAUUUAUUUAUUUUUCCUACUAUGAGGAGCAUCUCCAUUUAAUGUAUAAAUUGUAAGAGACACCCAGCACCAUCUUCAUGUUCUUUAUUUAGACACCCAACCAUUCACUCCAACCAACCUCCUCCUCCACCUACGCCACCACUACCACCACCAUCACCACGCAACGCACCGCGGCCGCGGCCGCCACCAUGCAACCCUCUCAACCUCCUCCUCUCAAUGAAAAUUACUUGCGAGACGACGUCAAGUCGCAAGAAUGCGAAGACUUGCACUCCUCUCUCCCUUCGGAAGAAGACUGGGUCCCCACCUCUCUCCCUUCGGAAGAGGACUGUGUCCCCUCCACUCUCCGCUUGUACCAGGGCUUCUGGUUCCCCUCUUGGGUCUUGAACAGCGUCGUCGCUUGCCAAAAUCACUUCCAAGCUCACCCCUCCGACAUCCUCCUCGUCACCAGCCCGAAAUGUGGCACCACCUGGCUAAAGGCCAUCCUCUUCGCUCUCUUGAACCGUGCCAAGUACUCUGACUCCAACUCACAAAAACGCCACCCUCUCCUAACCCAAAACCCCCACGACCUCGUGCCCUUCUUGGAGUUCAGGCUCUAUCUCCAGAAUAAAAAUCCUGAUCUCACUGCUUUUGCAUCCCCGAGGCUCUUGGCCACCCACUUGCCUUAUUCCUCUCUUCCACGGUCGGUGAGGGACUCCAAUUGCAAGCUGGUUUACUUAUGUAGGAACCCUAAAGACACUUUCAUCUCGAUGUGGCACUACUUCAACAAGUUCAGGCCCGAAGAGAAGGGCCAGCUUCCACUCCCGGAGGGCCUCGACAAGUUCUGCCGAGGUGUGAACUGGUGUGGGCCUUAUUGGGACCAUGUGCUGGGUUACCACAAGGCGAGCUCGGAGAUGCCCGAGAAGGUUUUGUUUGUGAAGUAUGAGGAGAUGAAAGCGGACCCGAGCGUUCAAGUGAGGAGGUUGGCCGAUUUCAUGGGGCGUCCAUUCAGCGAAGAAGAACUGAGAAACGGGACCGUGGAGGGAAUAUUGAGGAUGUGUAGCUUUGACAAUUUGAGUGCACUGGAGGUGAAUAGGAGCGGCAAGUUGCCAUCUGGACUAGAGAAGAAGUGGUUCUUCAGGAAAGGCGAGGUUGGAGAUUGGGUGAAUUACAUGAGCGCUGAAAUGGGAGAGCAAAUUGACGGUGUCAUGGAAGAAAAGUUGCAUGGUUCUGGUUUGAAGUUUUAGGACAUAUGACCCACUCGAAGAUGUUUGGUUUGAUGGUGGAAAAGAAAAAUGUGUGUAAAAAGAAGAAAAAAGAAGCAAAAACGAUUCGACUCUCCGCACUUUAGGGGGUCAAUGUCUGGAUGAAAGAUCUUCAGUGGCAUUGUCAGUCCUGGUUUCGUCUCCAUAGUGAGAUGCUUUAAGGUUGUGAUUCUAGUCUUCAUCUGUGUUUUGUAUAUUUGGCGUUUGGCAGAAGUUAUUUGGCCAGUACGUAGCUGGCUAAACAAGAGCUGCCUAGCUGCUCCCUGGGAGCUUGUGGAUGUAUCUUCUGUUAUUUAUUUCAAUUCCAUUUUUCUUUUUCUCUUGGCUGUGUGAAGAUUCGUGGCAUACGGUAUUAAAUACAAAGCAGUUGUUUGGUAGGUUAAGCUACAAAUUAUAUUUGUUAGAUGGAAAAUAAAUUUGUUAUCAAGCUUAUCGGUUUAAAUUGUCGGUUUUCAAAGUCAUAAACUAAAACCAAACGAAUAACCAAAGAAAAAAAAUCCUAAACCAAAAUUAAAACCCUAAAGUGCUAAACUGAGCUUAUCAAUUUUGUUCGGCUCGGUUGAUCGUUUUUUUUUUCUGUUUUUCGUGAACAAUCCUACCAGCAUAGAUCCUUGCCGAAGCUGGCCAUGGUUGGGCUGUGGCCAUACCCAUGCGGUUUCUUCUAUUUUUUUUUUUAUUUUUUUUUUAACUUUCUUUCAUUUUAUUUUUUAAGAAUUCAUUAAUUUUCAUUUGUUCCUCUUGUUUAUGUCUCUUUUAAGUGUUUUGAUAAACCGGCUUGUAGUUUGGUUGACCCCCUUUUUAUAAUGUGUUAAUGAGAAUCAAAAAUUAAUUUUGUCAUGCCCUUUAAUUUACUUUGCCAAUUGCUUGCCAAGUGAUGUCUUUAGCUUCCGCGGCUUUAAUCUUGUCCUCUUUUUGCUGAUCGCGUGUUAACGGCCUAGCCAAGCCCACGUUCUUUCGAUGCUAGACUUCAGCCUACCAUCAAUUUUUCCUUCCAUAGAUUGUGCGCAUGAAGGAAUCGAACCAAAUGAAAAGAAGGCAAACGGUGAUAGAAAACGCGGAAAAGAGGAAACGGAGAAGAGAGAGACAAAGCUUGAGCGCGCAUCUCACGGGAAACUCGCUAAGCCAGGUUAGCCUCAUUUUGCAAGGCCCAAUAACUAAUCGAACUCGUUAUUCGUCUAAUUGAAAUAAUUUUCGGAAUUAGGCCACAAAUUGGAAGUUUAAGUGAAUUUUGAAACGCGAUUAAGGAGUUAUUAAGUUAUGGAUUUAUAUGGAAAUGGUCCUGUUUUGUGUGGGCAAAGUUGUUAGCCCACCACAAUCAAUGAGUUUGAAAGAGAGCCCCAAGAUUUGACAUGUGCUCUCAUAUCAUAGAACAAUACCUAAUCAUAAAAUUUAAACCAUUAAAUGAAAGGUGACUACAAGUAUACAAAACAUAUCAUAACUAUAACUUAAGUGAUUUAGAACUAUACUUAAUAGUUUGAAUGGAUGAGACACCAAAUAAUUAUACUGAUGGAGGUAAAAGAUUUCAUUCCAUUUUGGGGUAUCUUCACAUAAUAAAAUUCAACUCCAACUUUACAGAAUCCUGCAAUUUUUAUUCAAUUACAGAAAUUAAUUAAAGUGGCCCACUUGCAUCAUGGUGAGAGGAUCCAAUUCAAAGACAUGUAGUUAAUAACUCACCGUUGUCCACAUCUGCAAUAGCCUUCCUAACUAGCCAUGUCACAUAAGACAGUUGAUAUUCACGUUAAUAAUUACUAGUAAAAAUUAGCUGGAAUGAUUAUAUUGACAAAAAUCGAAAGAUUUAAGAUUAAAUUGGUCAAAUUGAAAAGUUUAUAACUGACUUAACCACCAUAUAAUAGGUUCAUGACUUUUUAACUAAUUAUCCAUAAUUUUUUUCUGUUGAUUGAUAAUGCUUCAUUCUGACAGAGUAAAGUACCACUUACUUUUGAACAGCCAAAAAAUGGAUGAUGCUUACAUAUACAAACGUCAUUACGCUAUAGCUAUAAAUGACUACAAAAUGCAUAUAUCUUCACUUACAUUAGAUGUAACACCAAAUGAACUCGAAAUUGCACAUCUAACUAAAGAGACAUAUUUUCCUCUAUUCUUGCUAAAGCCAAUCUCAAAGUAGAGGAUUAGACAACCCGCUUGCAUAUUUAACUAAAAAUAAAAUUUGUGGCAUGUCAAACUAUGAUUGGAUGCUCUAACUAGGGUAGCUAAAGAUUUUCUAUGAUGUUCAUUGUUCAUAGGUUAAGAAACAACAGAAUAUGUAACUAGUUUGUAAUACCAAUUCUCACCAAUAAAGAGAAAAACUCAGAAUAAGUCGUCAGAGUAGAGAAUAAAAGUGAAAAUCAUUUUUUUCCCUGACGAGGAGAUUUGUGUAGAGGAAAUAAUUCUUUACGCAUGGGAUGAAUUUGGUUGGAUGUUAAUUUAUUGCAUCUUGAUACAUAUAAAAUGUAAUAUCAUAUAGUAUGAAUUUGGAUGAGUAAAUAUCGAGAACAUAAAGAUUGGUGUACAAAAUUGAUUUACAUGAUGAAAUAAUAGAUCCCAAUGAGUAUCUACAUUAAGGAGGACGUAUACAUUCAAGCAUCCAAUAAUAGUUUUGACAUAUACACCGAUAAAUAUCGGUCUUUACCAACCUUGGUAUCAUCAAUUUUUUUUUUAAAAGCCGUAUGAAAGCAUCAAAUAAUGCUGGGAGUAUUUAUUUAUUUGGGUUUUUUUUUUUAAAGAUAUCUUCACGGGGAAAAUUGGCAGAUUGAUGUUUAUAUUAUUGAAAGACUCGGCCUGUGCUUGGCGACUUCUCAUGUAUAACAUUGACUUCAUUUUAAAACACCAGUUCAGAUUCAAUGUUGUAUCCAAUACUGGAUCGAUAUUAUGAAAUUUCAUCCACACUACCCCGGAUACAAGCCAACCAACAAAUAUUUCAAUAGGUUGCUUCGCUUAGUCGAAAAUAGAGUUAGGUGGGCUACCUUUUUAAUUAUUAUUAAAGGAUGAACAGGAACCUUCGAAUGUACUGUUCAAAGUUGAUAUGAUACGGAUGCUACUUGUAUAGAAGUUAUAAUUUGCAUUUCGCAAGAUGACAAAAUAUAUUUUGCGUAUGAUAAGUUACUUUAUCCCCGUUGAAGAUGGCGUUCACUUGGUAUACUAGUCUUCCCGCGAAGUCAGUACAAAAUGCAUCUGGAGAGAAUCCUCGAUACUUUGGGUGUUCACAGUUUUUGGGCUAACAUUAUAAGAGUUAUUUUGCAUACGAUGUUUUGGGCAUUGGGUAAUGGCCGUGGAGGGUUUGACAUGAACAUAAAUUUGGCCUUAGCCACCAGAGAUGAAGUUGAAAUGGAAGACACUGAGGAAGGCUCAAUUGGAGGAUACGAGUUAGAUCCAAACCAAGUCACACAGGACGUCUCCAGAGGCACCAUUUAAAAGAUCGAGCGGAAGAGUUACUCUGUUGGGAAAGCUGACGGAUGCUGUUCUAUUUGUUUAGAGGAACUGGAUGAGAAAUAUAAAGUGAUGGAGAUACCAUGUUCGCACCUAUUGCACAAUAGGUGUGUCAUCAAGUGGCUCGAGAGGAAUAAUUCGCGUCCACUAUGUCGUGGCAAAGUACAAGUACAAGAUUCAGAGUAGUCAGUUUUAGUUUGUAAGAUUUUCUGAUAAGAAAUGAAUUUUUUUUUUUCCCUGAUGGAUUAAACUAUUGUGCUGGAAUGACUUUGGGUACUUAAUGCAGCGCCCGCUGCUACAGUUCUGAAUAUCACCCCUGUUAAAAAACCGAGGUCACCUGUGAUGUCCCAGUAGAGACCAUAUAUAGUUUCUGUUUCUUCUAUGGCUAGAACCUGGCAGAGAUUGUAACCUGCAUUUGGAAAGAGAGCAAAACGAAAAGAAAAUUGUCCAGUCAAUAUUUACAUGAGAAACACUCACAAAAGAAUGUUCACAUAAGAGUACCAAGCGAGCGGGGAGCGGGGAACGGGGAGAGGGAGGUUGAGAGAGAUUCUUACGCAAACCGACAUACGGAAUAUGCGCAACUUUAUUAGCUCGGUUUUGCUAGUUAUCCUAGGCAACAAUGACCCAUUCGUAAGAAAAUGGGCAAAGACGGCUAACAGUGUAUUAUGCGCACAUUUGAUAAUCUCAUAUAUAAGCUGUCGUGUAUAUUAGAAAUAAAUUAAUAAGAUCGUUGCAGAUAUUUCUCAGAAAUUUAUUUAUUUUUUGAUAGGUGAAAGAGAAUAUUACUGAAGCGCAGCAAGGGAGUGGAAACCCAUAUGCGAAAAGAGCUCAGUUACUCGACAAAUUAUGUACACUGUUAAAGCAUUUCCAUCCGCACGACUUUCCAGGACACCAAAAGCAUAAGAUUUUUAACCAACUUUCAAUAAUUACAGAAAAGGGCGUUUCCUCUCCGAUGAAAGCUCUCAUAUUCGGCUCUCGGAAACUUAACUUAAACAGAUGACUUCCGACCAACAGAAUAUAUACAGAGACAUGCACAACAUCUGUUGUUCCAUCAAUGUUGAACACUAACGUAAGUUCUGGUAAUAAUAUAGGUACCUGUGCGGGUAGUCAUCCACCACACCACCAGUGAAUCUAGCACACAUGGCAGAGCUCAGAAUCAACUCUGCUGGGCUAUGCUUUUUGGAUAAACUUGAAAAACUGCUUGUGUCGCCCCUUGCCAAGCAUCUAUAUGACGAGCCAAAAAAUGCCCUAAAAACACUCUAGACAAAUGUUGAUUAUUAGCCAGCCAAAUAGAGACUAGAAGUUCUGCAAGAUAGAAAAGAAGAAAAGAAGAAAUCUUUUGAUUAUUCCGGACAAUCAUACCAUCCAAUACUAAGGGAGAAGCUUCAAUCCUAACAAUGGCUCCUGAGAGGACUUAUCGGCGUUGCAUAACCACUACAUGAAAAACAGAUAUAGAAUCAACAAACUACAGAAAAGAAACCAACAAAGAUUCCAAGUUACCCAGUGUAGGAACUCAGAGAAUUUCCAGAUAGUGUAACAAGAUUAUGAAAUAAGAAUGAUAACAUGCAAAAUUACUGACAGAAGACAAUCAGAAUGUAUGGAGACAAUACAACAAUGACAAAAGGUGUAUCACCAAGCUAUGGUCCACCGGUCCUUCAAACCCAGCUAUGCCCAAAUUCUAAAUAUUUCAUGUGCACAAUUUACCCCUUGAGUAUCCACUUAAUAACAAGUCAUUCUUACGGAUCAUUCUUUUGGUGUCUAACUAGCAGAUAAGGGGGAAAGACAGAGAAUUGAAUCUACCAAAGUUGAAGCACAACAGUAGCUACUUUCUGCAGGGAACUUUUCUUAUGGAUCAUUCUUUGAUUUGUCUGAUCCAAGCCAAGAGGUCAACCAUGCAUCCACAGUGCUCAUUAGUUGGAGCGGUGCCAUAACCUUUGCUCACACGUCCGAACAAGCGCCAUGCUCCAUUGAUUAGACACUUCCGAUUGCAGGCCAUUGGACCUCCAAUAAACGUCACAGCAUUUGGUUUAGGGCCCCUAUUUUCCAUCUCGUAGAAAAACUGCAGCCCAGUUUCAUUCUUACCAUUGACAGCAAACCCCAAUAUCGUCGCACUCCUAGUUGUCAACAUCUUUUAGAGGCAUUUGGUCAAACACUUCUUCGUGCGAAUCCGACGAACCCACAUGUGACAAGAAAAUAAUCAAUGCAAAGCCUGGCCCAAGUUCGUAAACGAUGCCACUCUUAUCUUUGUACUUAUGAACCCAUUAUCCUUCUUUAGAGGCUUCCACAAUAGCACGGCACAAAGUACGCUAUCCUAAAGAGAUCCAAUUAAUUUCACGUCUGCACGAUCUUUAACCCCAGAAAACAGCUCGAUGGUUUCAUCAAACCGCUCGUUCCUAAAUUAGCCAGAGAUCAAGGCACUGUAGGAAACACCAUUUUUCCCUGGCACUGAAUCGAACGGUCCUCGAGCUUCCUACAAGAGGUCACUGCUACAAUACCCAGUGAUAAGGCUCGUCCACCAAACCACGUCCCGCAUUGAACUCUGAUCAAACGGGUGGCUAGCAACACUCGCAGCCCAAUGCCUCCGGUACAUGCUUAUCAGAGAACCCACCAUGUAUGCAUCACAAUCUCGCGUGAACUUCAUCGCCCGGUGGUGAAGUUGGCCAAGCAAAGGAAGAACGAGCGCCAUGCCCCGACCAGAGCAGUGGAAGUGCGGGCAUAUGGCGGGCGUAGACAGAGACCAGCUUUCCCACAUUCGAAGUACCCCCAAGAAACUCAUCAUCCCGAUUCCCAAGUCGAAGACAAUGGUGGUGGGUGAGUGGGAACACGAGAGAAAAGGCACGCCGCGUAGUUCAUGUGGCUGCGAACGGGAAGCGAGAGAGGCCAAAGAUGAUGGCGUGGGUGGUCGGUCAAUGGUUGAGCAUCUUCGGAGAAGGGCGAGCGUGUGAUAUAUUUAUCACUAAUUGGUUGGAUAAUUUCGUCAUUUCACAAUGUGUAAUAAUAAAUAAAAUAUUUAUUCUAUAUAUGUCUUCUUCUUUUUUUUAAUAGAGAAAUUAUAUAUUAUAACCGGUCCAUUUAACACCCCUACUAUAUAUGUCUUUAGACAUUUUGGCUCUGUUCACAGCCAAUUUUAUUAUGGAAAUAGCGAGUUUCAAGAAAUUAAAACCUAAUAGUGAUGGGAGAAUCAUUCGAUGCUAUUUAGAACACAAAGGGAAUACAAAGUUAUCGUGAUUUAUUCCUUGAUUAGUCCAUCCACAAUCAACUUUGGUCACUAAGGGCACGUUUGUUUAAAUGUGUUUCUGUUCCCAGGAACACAAAUUUUUGUUUUUGUGUUCCUGGGAACAAAAAAGAAAGGAACACAAAAACGAAACAGAAACGCAUUUAUUUGCGUUUUUGUUCCAAAAUUAUUUUUUUGUUCUCAGAAACACAUUUGGAAUGGAAACAAGAAACUAAAAAAUUUUGUUUCUGGAAUAAAAUUUAGGAACACUUUUUCUCUCUCUUCCAUUUUCUUCUCUCUUUUUUUUCUUCUUCUUUUCUUCUUCUUUUUUCUUUAUUUUUUCUUUGGCCGGUCGCUAGCCUCGGCCAUGGCCAGCGACCGGCCGUCGAGGGCCGGCGACCUCGCCAGAGCAUCACCGGCCCCUGGUGAGGCCGACCUCGCGCCGGGCUGGGCGAGCUCAAGCCCGCCUAGCCAAGGCGAGGCCGCUGGCCCUCGUCAGCCGGUCUCCGGCAAUGUCUGAGGCUGGCGACUGGCCAAAAGAAGAAAAAAGAAAAAAGAAAAAAGAAAAAAAAGGAAAAAUAAAUAAGAAAAAAAAGAAAGAAAAUAGAAAAAAUAAAAUAAAAAUAUUAAAAGAUUAAAAGAAAUAAAAAAAUUAUACAAAUUUACCAAACGUGUUUCUAUUCUUUUUAUAUUUCUGGAACAGAUUUACCAAACACGUUUUUUGUUCAAAAAUUGUUUCGUGAAACAGCAAUACUUUUUUCUAUUUCUAUUCCCAUAAACAAUUUUUAAACAGAAAUGUUACCAAACGCACCCUAAAUAUAUCAUAUUUGAGCGUAAUAAUUAUUAAUCACACUUUGUAAGAGAAAACUGUAAUCCACGCGCAAUUGCAUGACGGAUCAAUUUACCAUAAUCAACUCUGCCCACUCAAAGUAUACCUUGAUAUAUACGAAUAUAGACAUGAACAUAAUAGAAAAUUUCCUAUAUAACCACAGUGGAGAAAGAAAUGAAAAAAGAAGAAGAAGAAAACAAUUGAAAACAUUAGGGGGCGCAUUUGAUAAUGAUUCUAUUUUCGGGAACAAUUUCUGAUUAAAAAGGAUUCUUUUAAAUUUUGUUUUUAGGACUAAUUUCUAAGCAUUUUAAGUAGUUUGGUAAUUGUUCAAAAUUUAUGAUUUUAGAAUAGAAUUCCAUUGGGUACUGUGCUUAAAAUUUCUACUCCAAAUCAAUUUUUUUUAAUUUUUAAAUAAUUUUAUUACUUUUUUUCUUUUUCUUUUUCUUUCUCUCCUAUUCUUCUUCUUCAAGUGGUUGGUCGCCGAUUCGGCGAUCGGCGAGAAGAGGGCUGGCGACCUCCCCAGAGCAUCAUCGGCCCUUGGCAAGGCCGGCCCUCGUCGGCAGAGCCUUGCUAAUGGCCAGGUAGGCCUCAUUGGGGCUGGGUGAGGCUCGCCUAGCCAUCGGCGGGGUUGGGCGAGCCUCGUUGGGGUUGGGCAAGGCCAGCCUGGCCAUCGGCGAGGCUGGGCGAGCCUCGCCGGGGCUGGGUGAGGCCUGCCUCGCCGGUGGCUGGGCUUGCCUUUAUCGAGCUUACCGGACCUUGCCUUGGCCUGGCGAGCCUUCGGUGAGCUCACCAUAGCAGUUGUCGGCGACUGGCAGCGGUGGGCGGCAAACGGCGGCGGAUGGCAACCGCGGCGGUGGCGGUAGAUGAAGAAGAAGAAGAGAAAAAGGGUAGAAGAAGAAGAAGAAAAUGGCUUGAUUAUUAGAUUUGUUCACGGGAAUAAGAAUCAACUUUUUUUUAUUUAUUCUUGAUUCUAUUCCAAAUCUACUUUCGGGAACAAAAACAUAGAAAUUUGUUCAUGGGAACAAAAAUUUUACCAAACACUUUUCUAUUCCAAAACUACUCCUAGGAACAAAAACUCAGAAUCUGGCAUUAUUGGGAUGGUUACCAAACAUUCCCUACGACUGGUCUUAAAAAGAACCACUCGCCAAGGAUUGAAUUUCUCGAGAGAAAUAGAGAGAGUCUAAUUGCAUAGAAUAAUAAAAUUAUAAACAUAAAAUAAAAAUUUUCCAUUGGUCAGCAAACAAAAGAAAUACUAAUUCAAGAUAAAGUCUCAUUAAAAGAUAUGUUUGACCUAGGAAUUCUAUAUGCUCUUUUAAGUUAAAUGGCUUUCAAAGGGUGAUUCUUGCACUUGUGAGCUCUUUUUAUAACGAUAUAAACAUGUAUUGAUCAUCGUCAAUCCAAUAAAAUGGCUGCUCUUUAAUAGAUUUUACAUCUUAAACCAUGUUGAAACCAAUGUUUUUCCUUCUUUUUGUCGCUUCUCCAAAAAGGCACGUGUCCCUUUAAAGAGGAAGCAACUAAUUGUACUCAACAAUUUCUAGAUGCAUACCUGUAAUGGAGAAAUUGGUUUAUGUCAAUAAAUCUUUCAAAUUCAAAGCUCCAUCUAAAAUAGAGAACCAUUAGGGAAAAAAAAUAAUUGAUCAGGUCUGAGUGAUUUAGUCUGCACUUAGAACCGAACUGAUUAUCAAUGAUUCCAAAUUUUAGGAACGAGGAAUUGGACUAGUGCUCACCCCUAGAUAGUAUGUUUGAAUGUAAAGAAUUUGUGCAACCAACUGAGAUCUUUGGUUUUACAUACCGAUGAAAAUGAUUUUCCUGAAUAUGUCAAUUGAAAAAUUUAGCUAUGGUUAAGGAAAUUUCUAGGAAGAGUUUAAUUAAGUGAUGCAAAUAUUUUUUAACUGAACACCGGUCGCGAAGGUCUAUAGGUGUAGAGAGCAAAGCUCAAGCCAUAUGUGUUUUGUUUUCUUCAACUAGUUAAUUGAUAACCUUCUACCAUGUCUUUAUUUAUAUAAAAGAAAAUACUUUUAAUACCUUAGCUAAGAUUUCAAGCAAAGUUUAGAGUUCCGAGGCAUUGGAGUGUUAUUAUAUGUAUCCCUGUUUUUGUGCAAGAAUCUAGCAUUGCGCAAAAAUAGAAUUCCGACAAUACAACCCUUUCGAUGUCUUGCCGAAAUAAUUCAUGGUUAGCACAUCAACAAACACAAUAAAGUGACCCAAAUGCUGCAUCUUCUCGAUAGUCCCUUUAUAUAUAUGUAUGUAUGUAUAUUGUCGAGCUUCUCAAUAGCGUUGACUUAUGUACAUUCAUUACUACGUGGAAAGAAUGAAAGAAACUCUUGAGCUCUAGUGGAGCAGUUAGUAGUCUCUCUUCCACAAUGGUCCAGAGGAAGUCUGCUGCUUCUCUGUGCGCCGUAUUGCUAGGGUACCCUUGGAUCUGUCACCACCUGAUCAACAGCUUCCGAUGAAUUCUCAAUGGGUGGCUUAAGAGGCCAAAAAUUUCUAUUCCUAGGGAUUAAAGAUGCUGGCAAGUUCUCGUCAUGGCACCAUCGCUGACCUCGGUUGUGUGUGCUCAUCUGUCAAUUAUGCCUCGGCCCACUUGACCUCAACCCCCUCAAGUUUAAAGGAGUCUUACCUGGCAGGGGAGCAAGAGUUAGUCCUUAGGUAUCAAGAACUCUCUGGGGACAGAAUCCAUGUCCACGUAACAAUUUUUGGCUUUAGCAUCAGCACUCCGCGCAGCCCAAUCAUCAGACUGAAUCAAAGGUUAACGUUUCCCAUUACCUAAUAAGAGUAAAAGACACUAAAACAAUCACAAUCUGUCCUCGUAAGUGACAAAUGAACAGGACACGGAGUUGGCCAUAAAGACAAAGGUAUACAACAGGGCUGAUGAAACCAUACCUUAGAUGCUCCUAUAUACCGAGUAAACAUGGGUUUCGUGUGGUAAGAGACAGAACCACCUCAGUGGGAUUCUUGACCAUAUGUAAUAUCACAAAUUAAGGCCUAAGCAAUGGAUCUUUGUAACAUAUUUAAUCAUGUUACUUCACCAGUCUCACUAUCGAUUAGGCAUUCUUGGUAACAGUAUUUGGAAGGGACAUCAUGGAUUUGUUAAUGCAUCCUAUACCGAACAGACAACAACAUUGUUGCGCAAUCCAGCUUGCUAAAAUCUAUCAAAAAGUCUCCUGCUAUCUAGCAAGGUCCGAUAACACUAGCAGGAAGCUGCUGCGGAUCCACAAACAGAAACAUCAAGCAGCACCAAGAGAAAGGGAAGGAAUAACUGCCACCAGAUUGGCAUGCACUGCCUCAUCAAUGACUGCCAUUUCGAAACCAUGAGAAAGGCGAGAGAAUAAGGCUGCGUUUGCUUUGAUUUCUUUUUUCUGUUUUUAAAUAAUUUUUUUGUUUUUUUGUUCCUGGGAACAAAAAAGGAACAGAAAUGCCUUUGUUUGCGUUUUUGUUCCAAAGUUAUUUUUUUGUUCCCAGAAACACAUCUAGAACAGAAACAAGAAACAAAAAAAAAUUAUGUUUCUUGUUUCUGGAACACAUUUUAAGAACAAAAAAUGAACAAAAACAUAAGCCCUCGUGUUUCUUUUCUGUUUCUUGCUCAGCCGUUCGAAGACUGCCUCUCCUCCUACAUCUUCUCCACCGUCAUCUUCUCCGGCGCCUCCCACUCUCCGGCGCCAACAACCGCCUCUGUCUCGAGACCAUCCGGCUUCUCCACCGUCGUCCUCUCCGGCGCCGAUAGCCGCCUCUGUCUCGAGACCGUUAGGCUUCUCCACCGUCGUCCUCUCCGGCACUAACAGCCGCUGCUCCUUCACUAGGUGAACCUGCUCACUGCUCCUCCUUCACCGAUUGACGAGGGCUUCAGCGAGAGCCACCCCUCACAGAUUUGGGCGAUGGCUGCUCGGAGCUCGAGCGUGAGGGCUCGCUUGAGCCAGCGCUUGCCCAGAUCUGCGAGACGCUUGCUCUAGCGAGUCUCGUAGAUCUGGGCGAGCGGGGCACCGUUGCUCGCUAGAUCUGCAGCAGCGGCUCGUCUGCUCACUCGAGAUCUGGACGAGCACGCUCGCCGAGAUCUGGCGAGCAGACGCUGCCCGAGAUCUGGACCAGCACGCUCGCCCAGAUGAGCAACUCACUCGAGCAUUUGCUUGCAGCCAAGAUCUGGACCAGCACACUCGUCCAGAUGAGUAGCUUGCUCGAGCGUUUGCUUGCAGCGAGCCCUGCUCUGCUCGCUCGCUGCUGCUCACGCUCGAGUGAGCUGUGAGUAGCAGCGAGCGUCUGCUGCUUGCUUCUCUGCUCGCUCGAGCAUGAGUAGCAGUCACUUGCUUCUCUGCUCGAGCGAGCAGAGCAGCGAGCCUAGCUCUGCUUGCUCGCUGCUGCUCACACUCGAGGGAGCAGAGUAGCAAGCGUCUGCUCGCUCGAGCAUGAGCAGCAGCGAGCGAGCAGAGUAGCGAGCGUCUGCUUGCUUGCUUGUCUGCUCGCUUGCUGCUGCUCACGCUCGAGCGAGCAGACAAGCGAGCAGAGCAGCGAGCGUUUGCUCAUUGCUCACGCUCGAGCGAGCAGAGCAGCGAGCGCCUAAUGAUAUUGAUUAUUAAACUUGUUGAAGAUCUUUGGAUUGUGUUGCAACUAGGAGAGAUUGAUGCAUAGGUGGAUGCAUCCUAAUACUGUUAAUUCCUGUAUUAGUGUCAAUCCUGUUGAUCAAACGAUAAGGUAACAUGUUACGUUUUUCAUAACUAGAGAGAGGAAAAGGACCUCUCAAAAUCUCAUCCCUUCUAUUACAGUAACACGUUACGUUUUCUGGCAAGUUAAGUCAUUGAAAUCAUUUAACUAAUUACUUUAUAAAAGUUGUGAAACUUAAACAAUCAUUUUCAAAGGAUUUUUUUGCCAAAAUAGGCUUGGUACAAUGAUUUUUGGCAAUGAUAAUGUCCGUCUCCAUCAUUUGAUUUUUGUUGCAAUGUGGAAUUAAAACUUAUCCUGUAUUGUGGAAGCCUCUUGCAUAUUUGCACUCAUUUUGGUGACUGUUUCCUUCUCUUUUCCUUGUUUCUCACUCUAUCUCAAUUAGUUGUCUCCUUCCUAGGUGAACAAUGCUGGUGUUGGUGGAUCCAUUAUCGACGCUGAUGCUUUGAGAACUUCGGUGGAUCCAUCCAAAGUUCCGCCUUACCGGUGCCAAUCCACGAAGAAAUAUUUUUUUUCCCUUGCUCUGUUUGCAAUUUGCCAGUCCUUGCCACAUAAAUCGCAAUUUGCUGAUUUUGGAAAUAGUUAUCCGCACGCUAAGGUUGGCCUUUCGGCUUCUUUUUUCUUUGUCUUAAUCUUAGAGAUCUUAUAAUUUAGUUGGACUGUGCACAAAAUAGGAUAGGGUGUACGGAUCCAUAUAGGUUACCAUGCUGAUUCUGUGUAUGGCGUGUAGUUCUUAUGGUAUUAUGUUAUUGAUUUAAUUCAUAACUCAUAUGAUGCUCAACCGGUCGAAGAUUCAAUGGCAUCUGAGAGACACUCAUUCAAUGCAAAGUGGACGGAGUCUAUAACCAAUAUACUUAUCGAUUUAAAGGGAAACCACACCUCUUCCACUUUCGACAAAGCGGGGUGGAGGAAUGUACAGUCUGAACUCAGUAGACAGACAUGAUUCCAAUUUACCAUGGUACAGCUGAGGAACAAGGAAAACAAACUGAAAAAACAGUAUGGCAGUUUUCACAAACUCAUUUCUCAGUUCGGAUUUGGUUGGGAUAAUGUGAACAAAAGAGUUGUUGUCGACGAUCCAAGUAUAUGGGAAUCUCAUAUCAAGGUAUUUCUUAACUUUGUGGUCAUUUUGAUAUCAUUACAAAUGUCAAUUUUAAAAUGUAUGAUUAUAUUGCUGAAAUGUCAAUAUUGUGAAAAUUGUAGGAUAAUGUCGAGUGGGCAAGAUUCAGGAAGAAUGGAUUUCCUCAGUAUCAUGAGCUCUGUAUUGUUUUUGGUGGUACAUAUGCUACUGGGGAUCACGCCAUAGGAAAUGCUCAAGAUGUGAAUGUGUCGGAUGAUGAUGACAAUGGUGAUGACAAUGUAGGUGGUGACAACAGUAGUGGCGAUGCAAAUGGUGUCAAUGCAGGUGGUGACUAUGAUGGUAGCAAUGCAAAUGAUUUCAUUGGACACCACAGUGAUGACAGACUCUUUACAACAGACGAUGCUGGAACUUCAGUUCAUGGAAAGCACAAAUUGGAUAGAACUCCAAAUAGUAAGUGGAGAAGAAAGAGUAACCAAUCCGGUAUUGCUGAAACUUGCAGAGCCAUACAAGAUUUUCUGAAAGUUAGGUCAUCAAGUCAAUCUGGUGGUGGCUCUGCGAGCUCAGGGACUACACAACCACCUGUAGACCAUUUCUCCAUAUCUGCUAUAGUCCAUAUUCUAUUGAGUAUGCCUGAGAUAGAGCAAGAUGUUUACAAUAAAGCAGUGGAACGAGAAUGCGCCAGUUGUCAAUGGAGGGAGGCUUUCAUUAUAUCCACAUCUGCAAGGAGGAUUGGACUUCUUCAAUUCCUUUAGUAGAUGUUUGGAAAUAUAUUAUGAAUUGCAUAGAGUUUCAUUAGACUAUAUAACUUAUAUUAUCUAUUAAUCUUUAGUUUAUUCAAAUAUGAUUAAUGUUGAGACUCUUGUACUUAUAUGUAAUGGCAUAUCUUAUUGAGAUUUUAUGACUUAUGUUAUUGAUUGUUAUUGGGAUGUGUUUUCAAAAUCUAUAUUGAUGUUUUGGUCAUUUUUGUGAUUGUAAAGGUACUAUGGAAGGGGGAUCAAAUAGUGUGUCUAAUGAGCAGGUACAACCAGUUGAACAAUUCUUGGAUGAUGAUAUUAACAUAUUGGUAGUGUGGUUCUGCUUAGCUGCGAUGGACACGUCCCUGCAUACGAGAGAACCUAUUAGGGACAAUCAAUUAUCAGGAGUAGAAUGGAUAAGGGAGAUUGUUCAUGGACAUUCAGAUAGGAUAUAUGAAACAUUUAGGAUGGAGAGACAUAUUUUUCUUAAUUUAUGUGACUUAAUGAGGGUAAGGGGUUGGUUGAAAGAUAGUUGAUAUGUUCAAAUAGAUGAACAAGUUGGGAUAUUCUUAAGUGUGGUUACUCACAAUAACUCAAAUAGAGAUUUAUGUGAGAGAUUCCAACAUUCAGGAGAAACGAUCAGCAAGUAUUUCAACAAAGUGUUGAAAGCAAUGAUCAAACUUUCAAAGGAGAUAAUCAAACCACCGUCCUUUGACGUCAUUCCACAAGAAAUUCUUAUUGAUCCUAGUCAUAAACGCUACUUCAAGGUAUGAUUUUUAUAUUGAUUUUAUACCGUCAAAUACAUGUAGUUGAUAAUCUUAUAUGAUAUUAGAUUGUUAAUAUAUUGACAGGACUGCGUAGGUGCUACGGAUGGCACCUAUAUAGAUGCUACCGUCUCUGUGUCUCAGCAGAUUCCAUUUAGAGGUAGGAGUAGAAGAACAACCCAGAAUGUGCUGUGUAUUUGCUCUUUUGAUAUGAAAUUUACUUUCGUGUAUGCUGGAUGGGAAUGAUCUGCCAACGAUUGUCGAGUGCUUUUAGCAGCACUAAAAAAUCCUCAACUACAAUUUCCCCGACCACCACCUGAUACUUACUUUGUUUAUGAAGACAAUUUUAUGAUUAUAUAUUAUGGUUGAAUAUCACAACAAAUUUAUAUAUAUCAUGUUAUAAGGAAAUAUUACGUGGUAGAUUCGGGUUAUGCAGCACUUCCAGGAUUUUUAACUCCAUUUAGAGGCGAUCGGUAUCAUCUAAGCGAGUAUAGAGGGAAUGGGGGACGACCAAGGACAUCAAGAGAAUUGUUCAACAAGAAGCACUCUUCACUAAGAAAUGUAAUUGAGAGGUGAUUUGGGGCAUUAAAGAAUUGCUUCACCAUUUUGAGACAGAUGCCUUCAUUUACAAUUCGGAAGCAAGCACUUGUUGUAAUUGCUUGUUGUGCUCUCCAUAACUACAUUCGUGAUCAAGAAGCGAUGGAUAGAAACUUUUCCCUAUAUGGAGAUCCGGAGUAUCCAUGCGAACCUACAGAAGUGGAGGUUGCAGAUGAUACAUUGCAUGAUGCACCUAGAAUAAACAUGCUAGGACAAGGAUUGCAAAUAAAAUGGCGACGGAUCAUAAUAUGCCUGAGAUUUCAUGACUUUGUGUUUCCGACUUUUGUAAUUUUGUUUUUAAGUACUCACUUAUCAAAUUCAAUGUGAUGAAGUUGAAUAAUGAACUAUAUUGUCCGGGAUAAGAACGCUUCAAGUGCCAAAAGUUGGCACAAAGGGACACUUAAGUGCCAAAAGUUACGAAAGGUACACUUGAGUGUCACAUUCGAAGAAAAACGGAUCACUUAAGUGCCACUCCGGCCAAAGUCCGGCCAAAAGGCUGACGUGGCAUUUUUCCGACGAAUUUCCGGCGAAGUGAACCCAAAACGACGCCGUUUUGCAUGCUGACAUGGCAAAUAAUGCAAAAACGGCGUCGCUUUGGGUUGACAUGGCAAAAAAAUAAUAUAACAAUUAAAUAAAUUAAAUUUAAAAUUCGAUUUAGAUAAAAUAUUAAAAAAAUUAAUUUUAAUAGUUAAAAUAUUAAAAAAAAUAAUAAAUUUAAAAUUACAUUUAGUUAAAAAUUUUAAAAAAUAAUUUAAAAAUUAAAUUUAGUUAAAAUAUUAAAAAAUAAUAAUUUUAAAAUUACAUUUAGUUAAAAUAUUUUUAAAAAUAAUUUUAAAAUAAAAUUUAGUUAACAUAUUAAAAAUAAUAAUUUUAAAAACUAAAAAUUAAAAAAAUAAUUUUAAAAUUAGAUUUAGUUAAAAAUUUUAAAAAAAUAAUUUUAAAAUAAAAUUUAGUUAACAUAUUAAAAAUAAUAAUUUUAAAAACUAAAAAUUUAAAAAAUAAUUUUAAAAUUAGAUUUAGUUAAAAAUUUUAAAAAAAUAAUUUUAAAAUAAAAUUUAGUUAACAUAUUAAAAAUUAAUAAUUUUAAAAAUUAAAAAUUAAAAUAAAUUUAAAAAAUUAAAAUAAAUUUAAAAAAUUUAAAAUUAAAUUUAGUUAAAAUAUUAAAAAAUAAUAAUUUCAAAAAUAAAAAAUUUAAAAUUAGAUUUAGUUAAAAAUUUCAAAAAAAAUUACAAUUAGAUUUAGUUAAAAAAUUAAAAAAAAUUAAUUUUAAAAUUAAUUUAUUAAAAUAUUAAAAAAUAAUAACUUUAAAAAAAUUAAAACAAAUUAAAAUAAUAAAAAUUUUAAAAUUAGAUUUAGUUAAAAUAUUAAAAAAUAAUAAUUUUAAAACUAAAUUUAAUUAAAAUAUUAAAAAAUAAUAUUUUAAAUUAAAAAAUAAAAGAAGGGGGCGGUGGNNNNNNNNNNNNNNNNNNNNNNNNNNNNNNNNNNNNNNNNNNNNNNNNNNNNNNNNNNNNNNNNNNNNNNNNNNNNNNNNNNNNNNNNNNNNNNNNNNNNNNNNNNNNNNNNNNNNNNNNNNNNNNNNNNNNNNNNNNNNNNNNNNNNNNNNNNNNNNNNNNNNNNNNNNNNNNNNNNNNNNNNNNNNNNNNNNNNNNNNNNNNNNNNNNNNNNNNNNNNNNNNNNNNNNNNNNNNNNNNNNNNNNNNNNNNNNNNNNNNNNNNNNNNNNNNNNNNNNNNNNNNNNNNNNNNNNNNNNNNNNNNNNNNNNUUUUAAAUGAUUAUUUUUUAAUAUUUUAACUAAAUUUAAUUUUAAUUUUUUUUAUAUUUUAACUAAAUGCAAUUUUAAAUUUAUUAUUUUUUUAAUAUUUUAACUAUUAAAGUUAUUAUUUUUUAAUAUUUUAACUAAAUAUAUUUUUAAAUUUAAUUUAUUUAAUUUUUAUAUUAUUUUUUUUAUCACAUGAGCCAAAAACGACGUCGUUUUUGCAUUAUUUGGCCAUGUCAGCGUGCAAAACGGCGUCGUUUUGGGUUCGGUUCGCCGGAAAAAUGCCACGUCGGCAUUUUGGCCGGAUUUUGGCCGGAUUGGCACUCAAGUGAUUCAUUUUACUCCGAUUUUGGCACUUAAGUGUACCUUUCGUAACUUUUGGCACUUAAGUGUCCAUUUGUGCCAACUUUUGGCACUUCAGGGGUCCUUGUCCCAUUACUUCAUUAUUGUGAUGUUAUGUAUGAAAGGGUCUAUGUAGAGAUCUAUAAGAUAUUCUUCUUUUAGCCAGCUCUUAUUGUACAAAUUUUACUUACGAAAUUUUGUUCCAAGUAUGCACAUGACCAUGUUCAGAAUGUUUGUCUUCACCCACCAUGAACAAAAUUAAAUUGAUGAGCAUUUCAUUAGAGUGAUAAUGCAAUACCAAGUUUACACUUUAUUGAAAAAAAGGCACGUGAGAAAAAUUUGGUACAAAGUUUAUUUAUAAAAUUUUCUUCAAAGUAUGCACUUAUAACCAUGUUUAGAAUGUUUGACUUUACUCACCAUGAACAAAAUUAAAUUGAUGAGCCUUUUAUGAUAAUGAGAAUUCAAAACCAAGUUUACACUUUAUUAAAAAAAAAAAAAAAGCAAUUGGGAAAAUUUUGGUACAAACUUAAAAAAUUUUCUUCCAAGAAAGCAAAUAUGAUCAUGUUUAGAAUGUUUGUUUUCACUUACUAUGAACAAAAUUAAAUUGAUGAGCAUUUCAUGAGAAUGAUAAUUCAAUACCAAGUUUACACUUUAUUAAAAAAAAAAAACACUUGAAAAAAAAAAUGGAACAUAAAUUUUGUGCAGUUACCAAACGUGUUUCUGUUCUUUUUCUAUUCCAGAAACAGAAAUUUUAUGCAGUUACUAAACGCGUUUUUUUGUUCAAAAAUUAUUCCCUGGAAGAGAAACACUUUUUUCUAUUUCUGUUUCCUAGAACAAUUUUUAAACAGAAACGUUACCAAACGCACCAUAAAUUUCUACCACUGCUUGACAGGGUAGUGAAGACAAUCACAGCUUCAUAUGAGAUCCAUUUAUCAAAGCAGCAGAAACUUUUCCUUGAACUAUGUGAUGUGAUUUGCAAAUGGAUCGAUGGAUCUAAAUUGCCAAUCACACAUUGAUGCUACGAUUAGUAUCAUAUGGGAAUAAAUUGACUAAUAUGAAUUCCAAUCGUUGAAUCAUGCUACAUUUUUCGACAUCCUCCAAAGAUACUACCCAGCAGAAUUCCACUUCGCUUUUAAUAACUCUUGACGACAGAUAUGCAAUGCAACUCAUGCAUACAUGUGAUUAGCAUUACACUGAGCAGAUUUUGGUUCUUCAAAAACCCCAACAUUCCAUCCCUACCACGACACUCAAGAGGGAAGCAACUCGCGAGUGUUGAUUAGCACAAACUGUCAUCUUCCCAAUUGCGUGUGACACAACUUACUCCGGCGGAAGAGACCGAAGAGGGAUAGGUGAACUGUGCAGUGGACUGAGAGGGGGCGUAAAACCACCGCCGGAGAAAGCAGCGGCGGUGCCCUCGAAUUGGCUUCCAAAUGUGGCCAUCUUCUCUGUUUUGUUUCCUUUUCUUUUUCUUUUUUUCACUUGAUCAAGAGGGAAUUGUUUCCAUCGUUGGUUCAUUCGAUUCUCGGAUUUUUUUUUUUCCUGUUAUAGAGCUUCUUUUUCCGUCUGUUUCUCGAUAUACUUCCAUAAGAUUCCACGAAAGAUUUCCUGGGUUUUCUCGUGCUUGGGUUUCAACGUUACCCGUGAAAUCUUGUUCAACCCACUCUUGGUAGCAACGACAUGGAGAAGAUAGUCUAUUGCCUAUACAGUUUGAGGCUAAAGACAAGAAAUUCCGAUUUUUUUGGCCCACCGACCGCUGUCUUUAAUUUCUCGGUCAAGUGGCACCAUUUGCUAGUUUUUGUUGAUAAAAAACAAUUUUGAGUUGUUUAAGUGGACACAACCACUUCUAAUGCUCAUUUUUUUGGGCAAACAUCACAAAAAAUCUCAUACCAUUCGCACUGUGGCAUAAAUACCCAAAGCUUAUAUAUAUAUAUUACAAAAAAUUAUAAAGUUGCCCAUUGUGGCACAAAUACUUCUGACUUUUUUUUCGUGUCACAAAUAAAUCCAAUGUAUAUAUAAAUAUUUUCUAUUUUAGUUCUGUUUAGAGUAUAUUUGUCACAAUUGGCAAGUUUAGGAUUUCUACUAAUAAAAAAAAAUUAAGGUAUUUGUGUCAUGGUUGGUAUAAUUUGAGUUUUUUUGAGGUAUUAAACCCUUAUUUUUUAUUUAUUUAUACGCAAUGCUUUAUUUGCCUUUUUGAGCAUGGGUUUUUUAUUCAAUCAUGUGAUUGAGAUGCGUUUGUUUUUAUUUAUUAAUAUAACUGAGAAAGAAAAUAUUUGAUCACGGAUGCUGAGAGAAAGUGUGCGUAUCCACUCUAGCAUUAUUAAUCCUCGUUAGUUGAUAAUAUAUCUAGCCUUAAUCAUGUAAUGAAAAUCGCGAAUAAAGUGUGGGGUAGUGAGAGUAUUUUGUGUUAUAUAUAGAGUGGUUAGGAUUUGAUUUUAUACACCUGAUCCAGUGCCUUAUCUGAUAGUGUAAAUGAAAGUUCCACGUUAAACGUGCAUUUGAACACUGCCAAAAAAUAGAUGAUGAGUACACAUACAAGUAUCUUUACGCUAUCGCUAUAAAUGAGUAAAGAAUUCGACAUGUGGGCAUGAGGUUUCACGCUCUUGACGUCGUCAAUAUCGUAUGCUAAAUGUCCACCAAAUGGUUCAUUGACUUGAUACUACCCACCUAACUAAAGCGACAUAUCUUUCUCCAUCCUUACUAGAGCCAGACCUCCAUUAGAGGAUUGCAAAUAAGGAUAGAACCCGUUUGUAAAUUUAACUAAGUUGAAAUUUUUGCGAUGUCAAAUUAUAAUUGGAUCCUCUAAUUAGGGAUGGAGGAAAUAACAUAGCCCUUAACUAAAUGAUAUUUAUUUUCUGUCAAAAAAAAAAAGCUAGACAAUUUUUGUUCAUGUGCAUGCUCAAAAUUCAAAGAAAAAGAAGAAGAUUUAAUUGGAUCGAUAUACCAAUUUUCACUAAUAAAUAAAAAAAUUCAGAAGAGGCCGUUCAGGUGGUGUCUAAAAGUGAUUUUUUUUUUCCUACUAUGAGGACCAUCUCCAUUUAACGUAUAAAUUGCAAGAGACACCCAGCACCAUCUUCAUGUUCUUUAUUUAGACACCCAAUCAUUCACUCCAAUCAGCCUCCUCCUCCACCUACACCACCACUAACACCACCAUCACCACACGCCACCGCCGCUGCCGCCACCAUGCAACCCUCUCAACCUCCUUCUCUCAUUGAAAAUUACUUGCGAGACGACGUCAAGUCGCCAGAAUGCGAAGACUUGCUCUCCUCUCUCCCUUCGGAAGAGGGCUGGGUCCAAACCUCUCUCCGCUUGUAUCGGGGCUUCUGGUUCCUCUCUUGGCUCUUGAACAGCGUCUUUGCUUGCCAAAACCAAUUCCAAGUUCACCCCUCUGACAUCCUCCUUGUCACCAGCCCGAAAUGUGGCACCACCUGGCUAAAGGCCAUCCUCUUUGCUCUCUUGAACCAUGCCGAGUACUCUGACUCCAACCCACAACAACGCCACCCUCUCCUAACACAAACCCCCCCACG
rnacentral:lncRNA from 1 species